rnacentral:lncRNA from 1 species
UUACAAUAUCUUUUACAAAGAUAAUUCAAAUGUCUCUAAAGCUUUGUGCAGCAGCUUCAUCAAUCUUCGCUGAGCUUCAGAUUAUUGACCUUCGGCAUCGUCAUCCUGUACACAACAAAGCGGUGUAAGGUAAAAAGUAAUUACAAGAGAAGGUAAGCAAUAGGUACAAGUUUUAUAUCGGCUUAAGAUGACUUCGAGCCUCGUCACCAGCUAAGUUCCGCCCACCCUUCGUCCAAAUUUGUGUUAUAAACCUAUUCCCAAUACUUCGGGCUAGGCUGGGGAUAUCAACUAGGUCCUCUGGAGAUAGACUGAAGUUCGGUCUGUUUACUAUUUUUCCGUGCGUGCAACCAGCCUUCAUAAAAGCUACAGCUGUGCCGCGAGAAGCUAGCAGGGCACAGAAGUUGCCAUGCCCAGCUAUAACUUCGUCAAGUGCCUCAACUUCACUUUCAAUAUGCUCGAAGGUGCUGGGCAAGUCUUCAACCGAAGGUUCAAAUUCUUCAGAGCUGGCUCACAUUGAGUUGAAGACCUGUCGUAGCCGUUGCACGCAGCGGUUGCCGAAGUUUAUGCAAACAUUCCGAAGCUCUUUUAGGGAUUCUUGCAUAUUUGAGUUUUUCUCGACUUCGGCUUCAAGCCUUGCAUCAAAACUUUUCUUUUCUUGUUCAAAGUUUUCUGAUCUUCGGAGGAGUUCAUCGUUUAAUCUGACAACUUUGGCUUGGGCUUCUGCUAAUGAACCCUCCAUUGUUUGAAGAAGGAAGUCUUUCUUUUCUAGAGAAGCUUCAUGAUCUUUGAUUUUCUUUUCCAAGCCCUCGAUUAUAAUCUCAUUCUUUUUAUCUUCGAGGUCUUGUUGCAUUCUCAGGGCUUUGCUUAGCAGCAUACUCUGUGCAAAAUAGCCUUUAUCAGAAAUCUUUGCUUCAUCACAAAAGAUUAAAAAGCUGAGGAAAAAACUUUACCUUAAAAUUGGAAUAGAAUAAGCUGCCAAUGAUAUGUUGUCGUCGGUAGCUGCUAAUGUUAGCUUCAAGCUUCGGAAAACCAACACUCUUCGAUAGAGUGCUGAUAAUCUUCGCCCCAAUACGGUCUCGAAUGCAUCCUAAGGCUUCUUCAUUGAUUCCUCCAAAGAGCAUGGCUCCUGGUUGGUAGCCACAGGAUAUAGCAUACUGCUGCAGCUCCUCCUUCUCGGCCUUGGAUAAUUCUUGGCCAACUAGAUUCUGAAAGAUGAAGCCUUGUUCUUCCGAAGUGUCUUCGGCAAUUUCUUUCCCUUUCUCAGGCACUGCGGCUAGCCGCAGUAGUCUCCUCUGCGGCCAUAUCCAAGAGCACUUUAUCAAUAGUAGAUAACCCCUCCAGAUUGUUAGCUUCGGCGACCGCAGCUUCGGCAGAAGUAUCUGCUUCGGUAGCUGGUGUCAUCUUUGAUGCUGCCGGCGGUGGCGUUUGCUCAAUAGCUUGCAUAACAGUAACAAUUCUUCGCUUUUUGUUCCCAACCGCCUUUUUCGUUGCUGAAGGCUUGUCCUUCUUCUGUAAAAGCUUCGUCAGUUGCGGCCCUAGAGGACUUAGCAGCUUGAUAGGUAACGAUUCAGUCAUUACCUUUAAAAUUUCUUCUACUUCGGCAGCAGAAGGCGUUGAAGCAGUUUCCUCUUCCAUCUCAGCCACCUUCGACUCUGGAGUUGUAGUUUUCCUCUUCUUCGAAGUCGCCGCCUUCGGCUCGGGACUUGUUUUUCUCUUCUUCAGAGUUUUUUCGUCCUCUUUCACCAUUCUAGCAGCCUGCCUGCUUAGAACACUGACAACCCUUUUUCUCUUUGUCUCUUCGACACCCUUGCUGAGUCGUUCAUAAUCAGGGUAUUCAAAAUUUAAAGCGUCCAUUACCCGAUUCAACCUUCGUUUUGGUCGGGUGCCGAAGGCUGCAGUCAUUAAUUGAUCUUCUUUUUUGGUAUAAUUGCCCAAAAUCUCAUUGCACAUAGUCUCAAUCAUCUCCAGCCAUUCUUGGCAAGGCUCUUUGAACUGUUUCUCAAACUUGAAGCGAUAGGGCAAUCGAACAAGUUCAUUCUUCUUCUUUGUUCUUUUUAGCUUCGGCAUACUCCAUUCACUCAACAUUGGAGAUACCCUGUUGGCCAGGUAUUCUUGCACUAGAUCCCUAGUGCUGAUUUGUUCAGCCACCACUCUGAAUUCUGCUGUGGCCAGCUUGCAUGGUGACCGUGGCUUCAUGUUGCACAAGGGUCUGGUCAUCCCGAAGCUUAAAGACAGUGGGCUCAUGACCAUCGUAUUCAGUUUCUCCCUCUUCUUCUCAUUGGCCUUGAUAUAAAACCACUCACUCUUCCAGCUGGUUGGCCACUUGGUGCGAUAGCUGAGGACCGGAGCCUUCGUAUCCUUGUGAUACGCGAAAUUAUAGCAGCCAAAAUUUUCGUGCAGCCCGUCAGCUCUGGCGUUCGUUUGAUAGUGCAACUCAUGCACUCGGCAAAAUGCUUCGGCAUUUGGGUUCAUCCCUUGGCUUCGAAGGGCCCAGAUGAAGAUGCUGAGCCUAACAAUAGCAUUAGGGGUCAGUUGAUGAAGAAAGAUUUCAUAAUUAUCCAAAACUUCUCCAAUCAUCUCGUUCAGUGGAAACCAUAAUCCUGCUCUGAAAAAGCUUUUGAAAACUACUACUUCAUCAUCUUUUGGCGUUAGAGUGGUUUCUUCCCUGACAAAACGAAUAAGCUUCUUCUCAGCUUCUCCGAAGUAGCCCAGUUUCAUCAUCAUGGGCACGUCGGCUUCAGACACAGUAGAUUUCUCAAAAUCCAGGUGGUUGGGUUUUGAUGGGAUCAAAAUGCUAUAAUCUUCUUCUUCUUCAUCAGCAUUUUCUUCUUCCUCAAUAUCAGCCUGAUCAGCUUCGGCACCAAAAGUACCUUCGUCAAUAGUUCCCUCUGUCACAACUAAGCCCGAUUGUCUCAUGACUUCGGAAAUCGGAGCUGUCUCGGUGGCUUCAGUCUCAUCUCCUUCACGAGUCACCCUCGCAGUCGAGCGUACUCUGGCCAUCUGAUGGAUUUUUGCGGUUUUUACGAAGUUGAUGUUUUUUAUAGUUUUUGAUGAAGCUCUCUCUUUUGACAAAGCUAAUUCAAAAUGAUGGUUCGCUCGAGAAUGCAGUGAAAAAGUUUUGGCUAUGGUUAAAUUUUUCAACAGCACAACAGUGCAAUGACAAUGAAUGUUGUGGUAACUUCACACCUACCCGUCUAUUUAUAUAGUGCUGCAGGUUGGAAGGUGAAUCGCCAAGUCGCCCGCACCCGCUGAAUAGUCACCCGUACCCGCCGAACGGUGGACCACUCAGCGCUAGGGAAGUGAAUCGCCAAAUCAUUUGUACCCGCUGCGUGGUGGGCCACCUCGCGCUCGAAAUAUUUUAAUCGUUUCUUGGCAACGAGCUUAGGGAAGGUGUUUUUCGGACCUUCGGCAUUCCGAAGCCAUGGAGAUUUCUCACGGAUCAAGCUCAUUACGAAAAACAAUCUAGCACCGCGAAGGGGCUACUGUUGGGGGCCUGCUUCAUCGCCAAAGGUCCUCUAAGCAGAAACAGCUUCGAAAGAUCAGCAUAUAGGCAAACACAGCGCGAAGGUACACGCGAAGCUACGAUCCAGGGAGCUUCGGCAUAGUGACAUGCCUUGAGACGAAGGGUUGCACCGACUUAAAGAGAAAAAGACCAAUCAGUCCAUGAUAAUUUGUGUCAUGAUUGUAACUAGUCAUCAAGGACAUAAAUGUAAUUUUGACCAGGUUGCGUCCCGUGCCUAUAAAUAGGUGAAUAGUACCCUCGUACUGUUCACGCUGACUUGUAUUCGCUCGUGCGUCACGCUUGGACUUUUGCCUUCUGUCAAGCUGAAGGUACAAAUGUAAUUCAAUAUUGUUCAUGUUCAUUCAUGAUGAUAUAAUUAAGAUAUUUUAAUGAUGUCAUAUGAUUAUUCAUGUUCAUAUGCUUCUUCUUUCAUUAAUAUAUACUACGAUGAUGAAGGUACGUCCUUCAUGACGUUCGUCUGAAGAUCAUUAUAUCCUAAAGGAGAUAAUGCUUCGAAGGACGAAGGGCACUAACCAUUAACAUUUUGUGUUGCCUUGUUCUUAACUCAUAGCAUUUGAGAACAUGUCCCCAACACUGCCGAAGAAGGCAAUAGCGCCAGGGGCUGCCCUUCAGCCGUUGGACACCAACCAAGAGGGGCUCUCUCUGAGAGAAGCCCGAAACCAGAAAAGGAAGGCUACCAGCCCAACACCGCGGGAGGAAGAGCUAGACCAAGAGAUCAGAGACUUGGAGGCUAUACACCAGCAAGUGUAGAGAAAGAGAGAAAAUAUGCUUCGACUAGCCGAACUUCAAAGGAAGAUUGAUGAAGCUGCCAAAGAAAUGUGUCAUAUCACGCAAGAUGAUCAAGGACGAAGGCCACAACAGAGAGAGCUUCAUCAAGAAAGUCCAAGUAAUGAUGACGAAUGGUAUGAUGACUUUUAUCAUGGUAACUUUGCUUUUGAUGAUGCUUCUCCUCUAACAGCAGAAUUGCAGGCUACCCCAUGGCCACCAUCCUACAAACCACCGCAGCUUCCCAUGUAUGAUGGGCAUUUUGAUCUGAAACAGUUUCUUAUAAGCUACGAGGCAACCAUAUCAUCAUAUGGUGGCAACACGGUUGUCAUGGCGAAAUCCUUCGUCAUGGCAGUCAGGAGUGUGGCUCAGAUGUGGUAUUCUUCCCUUCGCCCGGGAACGAUCACAUCGUGGCAAAAGCUGAAGCACAUGCUGGUAACCGGCUUUCAGGGUUUCAGACCAAGCCAGUAACUGCCCAAGCCUUGUUCCAGUGCACACAGGACCAUAAAGAAUACUUGCAAGCAUAUGUUCGAAGGUUUCUGUGGCUUUGGGCCCAGGCACCAAUGGUGCCAAAUGAGAUUGUCAUCGAAGCUAUGAUCAAAGGGCUCCAACCAGGACCGACGACGCAAUAUUUUGCCAGGAAACCAGCACAAACUUUGGAAAAGCUUCAGCAGAAGAUGGGCGAGUACAUCAGGGCCGAUAAUGACUUUCGGCAGAGAAGGGAAGAGGCCUACAAAUACUCCGAGAUGACUAGGGGCUUCGGAGGAAGGCUCCGCCCUAGGCAUGUCAGAACAAUCCAUAAUCCCAGCUUAAGCGACGACAGAGGAAACCACGCUCAAGGCCAUCAGCAAAGCUCUCAGUCUACUGGGAUGCAACAAAGUUCUUACAAGCCACUAGCUCCAAGAGGCAGAGGUGGAAGAAGCUUCAGAGGAAGGUUCAGUUCCCAACCUAGAAGGUUGCUCUGUUUAUUCUGUGGGGAAGAUAAGGGACAUACAACAAGGACGUGCCAAGUCACGAUCUAGAAGCAAAAAGAAAUAGCUGAAGCCGAAGCACGACAGAAUCAGCCGAAGCAGGUCUUGCACACUGCUUCCUGCUAUUCUCCAUACAUUCCCGAGUAUGUGGGCAACCAGCAGCCCACAACAUCAGUUGCUUUGGCAAGUCACUCUCAAGCUGCAUGGGCUCCACUACCACCACCACCACCACCCAUGGCUCCAACCUUGCCUCACAAUUCGUAGCCAGAAGGGCACCGUCAAGUGCAACAACAACAUGAUAUAAGUGAGGAGCCAGAAUCUCGCACAGUCAACAACACUGUGCCCGAGUCGAGACACAUUUACUGAAGCAAUACAGGGGCUCAAUCAAAAAAAAUUCAUAAUUAAUUUAAUCUUUACUUUUAUGCCAUUAUAUUUUUCCUCAAAGACAAUAUAAGAAGGUUCAACCUUCGGCCUGUUGUAAUGAAUCUAGGGUUACACCAUUGAGUGUAACAGAAAAGAUAACGAAGCUCCAAAGUCGUUCCUAAGGGGAUGUAGAGCUAAAAUACCACCUAAGUAAAAGGUGAAAAAGCUCCAAAGCCAUUAUUAAGGGGAUGCAGAGCUUAGCUCCAAAGUCGUUCCUAAGGGGAUGUAGAGCUAAACUACCACCUAAGUAAAAGGUGAAUGAAGCUCCAAAGUCGUUCCUAAGGGGAUGCAGAGCUUAGCUCCAAAGUCGUUCCUAAGGGAAUGCAGAGCUAAAAUACCACCUAAGUAAAAGGUGAAGAGACUCCAAAGUCGUUCCUAAGGGGAUGCAGAGUCUUACUUUUAUGAUUCAUGCAUCAACAUCAUUUGCAUCAUACCAUCACAUCAUAUUGCAUGACAUCGCAUCAUACAUCAUUUUGCAUCGACAUAAACAGUGGAAAAAGAAGGGAAAUUGCUCCUUCAAAUAUACCAGCUAACCCAUGAGGUUAAGACCAUCUUCAGCAAAAGGUCAUAAAAACGUAUCAACAAUACAAGACCCAUGCCAUUGACAGAGGUGUUGAUAUACAGGGCUUAUAUCUUUGACAAUGGUAUUCUUAUGCGACAUUUAUGGCAAGAUCUUCAGAGUUGCUUCAGCAAAGAAGGGGGAUUUCUUUCUUGCUUCAUCAAGAAACUUACAUUGUGUAUGCGCCUAUACUUACUAUUCUAUUACACUACUUUUUCUAUCAAAAUUGUUGAGUAUAACUAACCAUCUUUUCUAUUGACAGAAAAACAAACAAACUGCUCUCACACUUUGUCAUCAUUCACCAAAAAGGGGGAGAUUGAAAGCAUCUAGGCCCCAGGUUGGUUUUAGUGAUUAAUGACAACAUAAGAUUAUAUGUGACUAACGUGUGUUUUGCAGAGCAAAUGGUAAGUUAGGUCGCAUUACAGGAAGUCAUGCUACAACGGUGAAAACAAUCCCUGAGAUGAGAACUUGAAGCAACGACUGAAAAGAUGAAUCAAAAGAUGAAGGUCUUGAUAUUCUCAGUGUCGAAGGAGUUGAAGACACUCGGUAUAGAAUUAGGUCUUCUAUUUUUAUUUUAGUCGUACUAUAAAGAGGGGUUGUGGAUGAGUAGUUUGACCAAAAGAUUUCUAGUGUAGAGUUGGUGCAUAUUCACACUCACAUCUAGUGCUAGGUGUCACUCUAUAACACACUCACAAGUUAGAAUGAAAACGGUUUAGAAAGACCAAAGGAAAAAGAAGUUAGGGUUUCAGUCUUAGGGGCACCGGACUGUCCGGUGCGCCCCCUGACAGUGGGGCCAGCCAGCCCCAGGGGCAGUGCCUCUGCCCCGGAGAAAACCCGAGAGCAACGAGUUGAGAAAAUGAAUUUUAGCCAUCUCACAGGACUGUCCGGUGUGCACCGGACAGCUAAUGUUCACUAUCCGGUGCACCAUCAGCCCAAUGGCUAGCUGUCAGAACUAGCCGUUGGAGCCGACAGUUGGCGCACCGUUGGCGCACCGGACUGUCCCGUGCGCCCAUGUGUAGAACACCCUGGUAACGACUAGUUUGGUGGGUGGGGCUAUUUAUACCCCCUCCACCUACCUCAUUGAGUGUCUUGCUGCCCACAUUAAAGCCCACACAUUGCUAGAACAUUGCAAGCACCACAAAGCCUAGUGAGGUGAUUAGAAAAUCUUAAUCCCGUGUUAGGACCUCAUUAGUGCAAGUUAGAGCUACCUAGAGCACACACCACAUGCAUUAGGUUUCUCUUGGUCAAGUGAAAGUCUAUGGCUUGUUACUCUUGGUGAUCGACAUCACCUAGAUGGCUUGGUGGCGUUUGGAGCGCGGUGAUCACCCUGGAGGAUUUGUUGGUGACCCGGCUCAAGAUUGUACGCGGUCGUGAGGGAUCCACCGUGCCAUAGUGGCAAAGGAUCACCUCAUAGUGAGCACUUGGUGCUUGCGAGGACCAAGGGGGAGUGAUACCCUUGCGCGGGUGCUCCAACGAGGACUAGGGAAGAGUGCCGACUCUUCGAUACCACGACAAAAAAUUGAAGGAGUCUUCUUAACCUUGCUUUACAUUCCGUAUUUAAUUUGAGUAUUUCAUUUUAUUCAAUUGAUUAGCAAGUAUUUGAAGUAAUGAAUUAGGGUUGUUGUUUUUCUAGUAGUAUUUACUUAUUGCUAGUAGUUGGGUGAAGUUGGGCUCAUGCUUAGGAUUUAAUUGUUGUUGAAUUUUUAGACAAGCCCAAUUCACCCCCUCUUGGGCAUCAUGAUCCUUUCAAUUGGUAUCGGAGCCUUGUUGCUCCUAGAUUAGCUUAACCGCUAGAGUAGCGAUGUCCAGCGAGGAUGGACCUUGUCCCGUUUUUGAUGGUGACGAUUUUCCCUAUUGGAAAAUUCGUAUGGAAGCUUACUUAGAGGCUAUAGACAUUGGUGUCUAUAAAGCCGCCACUCAAGGCCCAAACCAAGAGAUCCCACAAAUCUUGUAGGUGAUGAGUUUAAUUAUGAAAAAUGCAAUGCUAAGGCCAAAAACACUCUCUUUAGGGGCCUUUGCAAAGAUGUUUUUAAUAUAGUAAGAAAUCAUAGAAAUGCUCAUGAUUUGUGGAUGGAUAUUUGUGCUCUACAUGUAGGAACUAAAAGUGAGCGUGAGGAGAGAUAUCACAUUGCAAUGAAAAAAAUUAAAUUCUUUUGAAAUGCUUGCAAAUGAGAAUGCUAAUGAUAUGUAAUCAUGCCUUAACAUUCUUGUAGAGGAAGUCAAUGGCUUGGGGCUCAAAUUUCUCAACCAGAUGUUGUGAGGAAGAUUCUCAGUGUCCUCCCAAUUGACAAAUAUGGACACAUUGUCACUGUGCUACAUCAAAUGGAUCUUUCAACUGCUACUUCAACUCAAAUAUUGGGAAAGAUCAACGCUCAUGAAAUGUAUAUGCACAUAAAUGACAAGGAUGUGUCUUCUUCCAAGAGAAAAGACUUGGCUCUCAAAGCUAGCCAAGAAAAGAAAGGGAAAGCCAAAAUGCAAGAUGAGGAAGAAUCCUCAAGUGAUAAUGAUCUUGAUGCAAACAUUGACUUGAUUGUGAGAAAGACCACCAAAAUGUUGAAGAAACUUAAUCGAGAAGGCAUCAAGUUUGAUUCAAGAAAGAAGAAGUUCUUCUCCAACAAAAGAAAGCCCAUCUCUGAGAUGGACUGUUAUAAUUGUGGAGAACUCGGUCAUCUUACUCAUCAAUGCAACAAGCCCAAGAAGAACUAGUUCAAGGGCAAGAAAGAUGAUGACAAGAAGGAAAAGAAAUUCUUCAAGAGGAAGGAAUGCAAGCAUAAAAGAUUCCAUAAAAAGAAAAAUGGAAAGUAUUUAUUGUUGGUGACUGUCUCACUGACAUUGAAUCUUCAAGCGGGUCUUCUUCAAGUGAAGAAGAGAAUGAUGAAAAGUUGCCGCCAUCGCUGGGGAUUUCUCUUCACCACCACCAUCACCCUCAUCCACUUCUCACCUAUGCCUCAUGGCUAAAGGUGAACGGAAGGUACAACUUGAGAAUGAUAUUAUUGAUGAUUGUGAUAGUGAUAGUGAUGAUGAGUAUGCUUCUCCUUCCUAUGAUGAAUUAACUGACUUACUUAAAGAAUACACUCAAAUCAUUAGGAAGUCAAAAGCUAAAUGUGACAAGUUAAAAGAUGAAAAUGAGUUUUUAACUACCAAGUAUGACAUAGUUGUAAAAGCUAGUGAAGAAAUGAAAGAAGAAAAUAAAACUAUGCCAUCCACUAAAAAUGAGCUCAAAACCUCCCUUAAAGAUGCCAAAGAUAAAUGUGAAAAAUUAAGUGAAGCAAAUAGGGAGUUGAAAGAUAGACUUGUCAAAGUAAAGGAAGAUUAUACACAAAUUAAAAUUGACUAUGAUAAUCUUCUUAUUGCAAAUGAGCUUUUAUCUUGUAAUACAGUUGAGGCUAUUAACCCUACUGUUAAGAUUGAUGUAGCAACCUCAUGUGAAGAUUUGAGCCAAGUUGAUCAGUCUAGUCUUCAUGAUGAAUUGAUUGAAAAAGUUGAAGUCAUGACACUAAAGAACCAGAAAUUGAAGAGGUACUUGACAGAUGCAACAACUAGAGGAAAAGUUGCCAUAGAAAGCAAUGACAUUAAUAAUGAGUUGGCAGUGGACAAUGAAAGGCUUAGAGAUGAAGUCAAGAAACUUAAGAUUGAGAAAGAACAUCUUGCCACAAGUGUACAAAAGUUCUACAAAGGCCAAUACCUUCAAAAUGAGUUACUCAUGAACACUGUUAUAAAAAAUAAUAAAAGUGGUAUUGGAUACAAUUCUUUUGUGCAAAAGAAAGCAACAAGUCAAUAUAAGGCAAAACAGACUCCUAAGCCAAUCAAGUCUCUGAGUGUGGAAAAGGACACUUCGCCCACAACUGCAAAGCCACACCACCAACUCCCUUGCCAAAGCACUCAAGACCAUUUGCUUUCAAUGCUCAUUAUGUUCUAAGAAAAGUAGCAAAUGGAAAAUUCAAAGUAACAUUCCUAGGUCCACCAAGCAAGAGUAGACCUAGAAAGUUACUGGUCCUAUGCAAAAUAGGGCCCUCAAACUUGAAGCUUGAUUUAUUUGUUCAUCUAGGUGAACUACAAUACUGGUGGGAGACAUUGGGUAAUUAACAGUGGAUGCACUCAACAUAUGACUGGCAACCCACAUAUGUUCACCUCACUUGAUGAAAAUGUUGAUGAACAAGAUAAAAUCACUUUUGGGGAUAAUUAAAAAGGAAAAGUUCAAGAGCUUGGCAAGGUGGCAAUUUCAAAUGAUCUUUCAAUUUCAAAUGUUCUCUUGGUUGUAGCAUUGAGCUUCAAGUUGCUAUCAGUGGGUCAACUUUGUGAUCUUGGCCUUCAAUGCUUAUUCACUCCUACAUAGGUUGUUGUGUCUAAAAUGGAUGAUGAGUCAAUGGUAUUCAAAGGAUUUAGAUACAACAACCUAUACUUAGUGGAUUUCUCCUCUGAAGAUGCAAACCUAAGGACUUGCCUCUUUACCAAAGCAUCUCUUGGAUGGCUAUUGCAUAGAAGGCUUACACAUGUUGGAAUGAGCACACUCAAGAAGGUUCUAAAGAAAGACAUGGUUAGAGGAUUGAAGGAUGUUGUAUUUGAAAAGGACAAGCUUUGUAGUGCAUGUCAGGCUGGAAAGCAAGUUGCUAACACCCAUCCUACAAAAGCUUUUAUGUCAACAUCAAGGCCACUAGAGUUACUUCAUACGGAUCUAUUUGGACCAACAACUUAUGCUAGUGCUGUGGCAACCUCUAUUGUCUGGUUAUUGUUGAUGUCUUUUCAAAAUAUACUUGGGUGUUCUUUCUUCAUGACAAGUCUGAGGUUACAUCAAUAUUCAAGAAGUUUGCCAAGAAGGCUCAAAAUGAAUUUGACUGCAAAAUCAAGAAGAUAAGGAGUGACAACGGAAAGGAAUUUGACAACACCAACAUUCAUGAGUACUGUGAUGAAAUUGGGAUCAAGCAUGAAGUUUCUGCAACAUACACACCUCAACAAAAUGGAGUUGUUAAAAGAAAGAAUAUGACCUUGAUCACUCUUGCAAGAACAAUGAUUGAUGAGUAUAACACACUAGAGAGGUUUUGGGCUGAGCUGUCAACACUGCAUGCUACGCGUCAAACAUGCUAUUUCCUCACCAGCUACUUGAGAAGACUCCCUAUGAACUGCUAAAUGGGAAAAAGCCAGACGUCUCCUUUCGGGUGUUUGGAUGCAAAUGUUACAUCUACAAGAAACGCCAUCACCUAGGAAAGUUUCAAAGACGUUGUGAUAUUGGUUUCUUACUUGGUUAUUCAUCAAAAUCCAAAGCAUAUCUAGUAUUCAAUCAUGCCACUGGCGUGGUGGAAGAAACAUAUGAUGUGGAAUUUGAUGAGACUAACGGCUCCCAAGGAGCACUUGAAAAUCUUGAUGAUGUAGGUGAUGAACCACUUAGGGAAGCUAUGAAGAACAAGCCAAUUGGAGCCAUCAAACCAAAAGAAAAUGAAGAAGAGGUGCAAAAUAUUGACAUGCCUUCUUCAUCAAAUGUACCCCAUGAUGAUGAAAAAGAUGAGAGGCAUGCAAAUGAAGAUACAUUUGUCUCUCAUGAACAAGCAAGGGUACAAGCUGAAGAUGUUGAUGCUCCAAGAACUUCUUCUAAGUGGUUGACAAGAGGAACUCAUCACUACUUCAAGCACAUCCACAAGAUCUAAUCAUUGGGAGUCCUUCACAAGGGGUUAUCACUUGUUCUCAAAGAUAUGCUUCAGUUAUUGAACAUCACUCUUUUGUUUCUUGUGUUGAGCCUACAUGUAUAGAUGAGGCGCUACAGGAUCCGGACUGGGUGAAUGCCAUGCAUGAAGAAUUAAACAACUUCACCCAGAAUCAAGUUUGGACCCUAGAUAAACCUCCACAAGAUGCAAGGGUCAUUGGAACAAAGUGGGUGUUUCGAAACAAAGAAGAUGGUCAAGGUGUGAUUGUGCGGAACAAGGCAAGGCUUGUUGCAAAGGGGUUCUCUCAAGUUGAAGGUUUAGAUUUUGGAGAGACCUUUGCAUCGGUUGCUCGACUUGAAGCCAUCUGUAUCCUACUUGCAUAUGCAUCUUGCUAUGACAUAAAGCUUUAUCAAAUGGAUGUAAAAAGUGCAUUUUUAAAUGGCUUCAUAAAUGAACUAGUAUAUGUUGAGCAACCACCCAGGUUUGAAGACCCUAGAUAUCCUAAUCAUGCUUACAGGUUGUCCAAGGCGCUAUAUGGGCUAAAGCAAGCUCCAAGGGCUUGGUAUGAGCGUCUUUGGGACUUCCUCAUCGAGAAGGGCUUCAAGAUCGGGACCGUCGACACAACUCUAUGCACAAAGAAACAUAAUAGUGAUAUUUUCAUUUGUCAAGUUUAUGUUGAUGAUAUAAUUUUUGGCUCGACAAAUGAUUGUCAUUGCAAGGAAUUUGGUGAGUUGAUGUCGAAGGAGUUCAAGAUGUCAAUGAUUGGUGAGCUAACCUUCUUCCUCGGCUUUCAAGUCAAGCAAAUGAAAGAUGGGAACUUCCUCUCACAAGAGAAGUACACCAAAGACUUGUUGAAGAGAUUCAAUAUGGAGAAGUAUAAACCAAUCAAGACACCCAUGCCUACUAAUGGACAUCUCGACCUAGAUGAGAGAGGUAACCCGGUUGAUCAAACUCUCUACCGUUCUAUGAUUGGUAGUUUAUUGUAUCUUACCGCAUCUAGGCCUGAUAUCAUGUUUAGUGUUUGUAUGUGUGCUCAAUUUCAAGCAAAUCCUAAGAAAGCUCAUCUUCGCACUGUUAAAAGAAUUCUUAGGUAUCUUAAGCACACCCCAAGCGUUGGCCUAUGGUAUCCUAAAGGAGCUACUUUUGAUUUAAUUGGCUAUUCCGAUUCGGAUUAUGCCCGUUGCAAAAUUGAUAGAAAAAGUACAUCCAGGGGAUGCCACUUGCUUGGUAGAUCACUAGUUUCAUGGACCUCUAAAAAGAAAAAUAGUGUUGCCUUGUCAACCGCCGAAGCGGAAUACAUUGCCGCGGGUGCUUGUUGCACACAAAUUCUUUAUAUGAAACAAACUCUUCUAGACUAUGGUGUAGUUCUAGAAAACGUACCUUUGUUGUGUGAUAAUGAGAGUGAUGUUAAAAUUGCUAAUAAUCUUGUACAACACUCUCGCACCAAGCACAUUGAUAUCCGUCAUCACUUCCUUAUAGAUCAUGUUGCUAAAGGAGAUAUUAUUUUAGAAGGAGUGAGAUCGGAAGAUCAAUUAGCAGAUAUUUUCACAAAGCCUUUAGACAAAACCCGCUUUUGUAUGUUGAGGAAUGAGCUAAAUAUUCUUGAUCUUAGAAAUUUUACUUAAUUAUAAAAUGGUGAUGUCAAGCUUGCAUUGCAUGUUUAAAUUUCUUGUAUUGCAUCUAGGGCUUGUCUAACCUAGUUAAGAUAACCGCCAACAAAGCGAGUGAAAAAGCUUAAUUCGGGCUCAAACUUGACAAGUCCUAGUGUUUAAGCUUUUUGGUACUUAAAUUUCAUUUACUAUACAAUUGUUGGUUCUUGAGAUAUGCAUGUGGUACUGCACUUAGGGGGAGUAUUCACAACUCAAUUUGUUCAUGAAACCUCGUGUUCAAAACCAAAAUGCAAAUCUCACCAUUUGUCUAUUUUCUCUAAAAACUAUCUAGCCUAUGGCACAAUAUUUUGAAAAAUAUGAAAGAAUAUGUGAGGGUACCAAUACCUGUCCCAACAGGUGUUCUUUUGUGUGCUUAUAAGUUGGGAUUUGGUUUGGUUCAAAAUUUCCUAGAAAAUUUCAAAACUCCCUUUGUCUUGGCUCACCGGACAGUCCGGUGUGCACCGGACACUGCACUGUGUAAUAUCCGGUGCACCGGCUGGGCGCGCGCAGAUCUGUUCCUGUGCCCCCCUGUUCGGUGGUUCACCAGACAACUACUGUGUGAUGUCCGAUGUGUACCGGAAAUGCACUGUAGAUUGUCUGGUGUGCCCAUAACCCGUUUUUAAAAAGACUUUCUCUGCCCGAGCCCGAGACCAGGGCACUCAGCUUUCGCCUCAGCUCUCUGUCUGUCUGCCUGGCGAUUUUGUUUCUCACUCUCCGUCGCCGCCGGCGACCUCCGGCAUGGUCUGCCCCAGCCUGUGCUCAGCUCUUCUCUCCCUUUCCUAGUGAGCAGCCCUAGCUCUUUCUUCCUUCUCUUCCUCUAUUCUUCUCUGCACAACAAAGAGCUCAAACCUCCCACCUUUUGAAAAUCACUCAAACUUUGUGCAAAUCCUGUGAAUCCAAGUGAUUGUGUGUGUACCUAGUGCUCCAUUAAGUUCCUCUGCAGGUCUUGAGCUCCCUAGGGAGGGUUUCAUCCACACAAAUAACCAUUUCACCCUCAACUCAAAACCCCGCACACCACUUGUUAGGUGAAAUGCCCAAACCACUCAAAAUUGCUCAAAUCGACCCCAGCUUUUUCUAGCACCUUUUGGCCACUACCAGUAACACUCUCGCCAAAAUUCAUGCCUAUCUGAUGUUCUAGACACCAGUUAUUCCACUGCUUCCCAUUUAUAGCGAUCCUUUUUGAGCUGAGUGCCAAAAAUUCGUUUUCUCCGCCAAACCUCAAACCAAGCACACACUUCACUCAUAUGCACUCAUAUAUACCUAUUUGUGAAGUAUCGGCUCAAUUCCAAGUUAUUUCAUGCCUCAUUUCGAAUUUCAAACUCUCUAUGGCACAAUUCAUCGUUUAAACAUCGUUCUCGCGCCGUUUGACCUUUGUUUCUCCAAAUCACUCAGUUUUAUUGUCAUAACUCUCUGUGUAUGUAUUUAUUCUCAUUUCAUAUGCUUAUGACUAUGUGACUAAUACGUGAUCACCUCUUCUGUCAUUUCAGUGUUCCCGCCUGCUCACAUGCUCGUCUCUUGCUCUGCCUAGAUCUUUUCUCUCUCGAGAAGUUUCCAGGUAGCUAUCACUCUAUUUGAGAUCUUAUCGAUUGCUCUCUAUUCUUGCUUAUCUUUUCACUAUACCUUGUAGCAGUCAGGUCAGGAUGGUGCGGACGAAGAAUAUCACACCAUCAGGGGAGGAGACGACUAGGACCCUCCUUGUCCCUUCAGGCAGGUCAAGGGGAAGACCGUAUAUCUUGAGCAGCUAGAGGGCAGGAAGAAGAGAUGUAUGGAUAGAGCCGCACUUGCAGCGGUAGCAGCAGCAGACUAGGCUGUGGGGGGAGGCCAGCUACAGAUUUCAUCUGAUUAGAUUGCAUAUCGGGUUUCUCUCCUCGCGUCUCGACCUUGCUCCACUGCUCCCCCGCUCCUUCUGCCACAUUUUCCACUCCACCUCCCACUUCGCCAACUCCUGUCGCUCCUGAGUCAUCCACCAAGCCCGCUGUGUCCACCAACUCCACUACUCCAUCUUCCACUGCUCCUGCUCCUGCUCCCGCUCCCUCUCCCACUUCUGCUCCACCCAUUCCUCCACCUCGCUUCAGGGAGCGUGACAAGACUGAGCUGAGACUGUUGGUUGUUGAUCCGCAUCUUCUUGACCUUCAGCGUGCCACUGUUGCCCGGGUAUGUCGGUUCAGACACGUACCCGUGGAGUCUUGGUUGCCAGCCCAGAGGGACCCAGCAGAUGCGCCUCUCUUCAACACCAGGACUUAGGAGUCCUUCAAGGCGCAGUUGUCAGCUCAGAUUGCUUUGAGAGCGCACCGGCUCUUGGAUCUUCCUACUUUUCUGUCAACCGCCGGUGCCGAGUCAGAGGGUCACCUCUCUUAUCUGCCAGGUUUGAUUUCACUUUUGACCUCUAGUGGCAGAUACAUUGAGGAGUGGGUCAGAGUAUUCUAUGCAACCGUUUGGAUUGACCCUCAUCAUUAGUCGUUGAGGUUCCGCUUUGAGCGCGAGGAUGUCAUUCUGCAUUCCACUCAUAUCAGACAACUCUUUGGAUUUCCUGAGUCGACGACCAGGCUCCAUAGCUUGUGCUACUGCAUUUCGGAUCCUCCCCAUCGCCCUCACGACGGAGUUGCACCAGCUAUAGCUCACGUCGCUGCCCUGUUCAGACCUCCAUUCACAGAUGGGUCACGAUGUUCUCCUGCAGACUUCCCUCCAGCAGCGAAGUUCCUCUAUGAGCUGAUGAGACGGACCUUGCUACCCAGGAUGGGUACAGGGAGGCCACCACACAUAUUCAGCUAUGGCUACUUGGUGCCCUGAUUUCACACUCAGAGUUCGACGUGGUUGAUUUUCUCAUCUGUGAGAUCGAGGAUACAGUGUUGGAUGGUCUUUGUAACACCCUGAAUUUGGGGGUAUAAAAUUUCUUUCUUAUUAUCAUCCAAAUUCAGGUGUUACUCUUCUCUAUAUCACUCUAGUUUCUAUCUCUCUCUAGUUUCUCCCUCUCUUUCUCUUUUGGUUAGGGUUAGCUUAAUUAGUGAGGGAUUAUUUAUUUUAUUUUUGACAAAACUUAUGAGUCAUGAAAUGUUGCAUCAUGUUGAACCCCAAAUAUUCUUUGAAUUGUUGCACAUGUUUGGUUUGGUUUGAAUUUGAAACUUGAUUUGAAUUUGAAUUGAAAACCCUAGAGAAAAUAAAUAGAAAAGCAAUUAUAAAUUCCCUAGAAAAUAGAAAACCAUUUCAGCCCAGUCGGCCCAUUAAGCCCAGCCUGCGCGCGCCCCCACGCGCCCUCGGUGCCUGAUAGGCAGGCCUCGCCUGUCGGCGCCAACUUGCGUGCCCUCUCUCCCUCUCUCUCGCUGCCCCGUGGGCCAGGUUUGUCGGCGCCGUUCCUAUCACCCGCGCGCCGCUCUCUCUCUCUGUCCCGCCGACCCCACCUGUUAGCUCGUCCCCAACCUCCCGCUCACGAUCCCCCGCCGUGGACGCGCCCACGACCGCACGAUCUCCGGCCACCUCCACACGUCCCCACCCCUUUUGAGCCCCGCGCCCUGCUCGCCCACCUUCCCCCGCUCACUUGUGCCCGCAGUCGAACCCUCUCGCCCUCUCUCUCUCUCUCUCUCUCUCUCUCUCUCUCUCUCUCUCUCUCUCGCUCUGAGCGCGCGACCCGAGAGCUCCGCCACCGCUCACCAUCGACCGUCGUCCGUUCUGCGACCGCCGUCGAGCCCGCACCCCUUUCGUUGGCUCGGUGAGUUCUGCCUCGCCGUUAGCUACUCGAGACACCCUCUGGUUCGCUCUUCCCCUCUUUGGUUUGUCCGGUCUGCGCUCACCGGAGCGUUUCUUGCGCAGCCGGAGCCCCACCGCCGUCGACCCGAGGCUCCAUCGCACCCCCGCCGUUCUCCAAGCGUCCCGGAGUUCGCACUCGAGGUGAGCACCCUUCCCAUGCCUUUAUUUCGCAAUUGCUCAUCAUAGUUGGUUGCGCCGCCGUGGGACUUUUCCCACCGCGGUCUGCGUUCUCUAGUGCCCCUGUGCCAGUUCUGCACCCACGGUCGUGUUCGCUGUGUCGCGCUGAACGUGUCUGACCCCUUCCCUAAGCCACUAGAGCCCCGCCGUGGCCGCCCCCUCGUCUCCGGUGAGCCCUCGCCGCAGGACCAAGCGGCGCCACCGCGUUUAGGUCUAGCCCCCGACCAUUGGAUCUCGAGCGUCCGUCCGAGAUCGGGCGGUUUAGAAUUUAGCUGAACGGAUCUAAUCCUAGCCCUCCGAUCUAGAUCUGACCGCUCUUCUCUCUCCCCCUCACCCGCGCCCCUGCCACUAGGCCUGGCUGGUCAGCCCUCCCUGGUUCGCUAACACCCCGUCCCCGCCUGUCAGUCGCGCCCGCGCGCGUGUUCGCGAGAUCUAAUCCUAUCCGUCGAUCUCUGAUCCGAUGGUCGAGAUUACCCCGUACCCCUUCGCGUGUAGGUUUUGCUUAAGAGACCCUCGGGUUUUAGGAAAUCAACCUGCCAUCCUGAGUUUUAGCGUGCAGCCCCUGGUUUCUUUUAAAUAGCCCGUGUGCUUCUAUUUAAUCACAUAAUUAGCCCUAAUUUCAUAUUUUAAACUUCAAAACUUAUUUAUUUCAUAUCUUUUUCAUAUGAACUCCAAAUUUAGUGGUUCAAAUUGCAAAAUGUUCAUGAAAUUAUUCUCUGCCCAAAUAAAUUAUGUUCAUCUACAGUUUGUGUGGCAGAACCUCCCAAGUUAUUGGACCCACAUGCACCUGUCCUUGUCUCAAAGACCUCAGACGGCUAUGCAUGUGCACCAGAUAGUUUAACAGGAUCUGUCUGAGUGCCCCAAGGACCCCGGAUAAACCACUUACUACCAGGACUGCAGGAUUAACUAAACAUAAAUCACACACCAACAAUUUGCAGUGGAAAUCUUAUUACCAAAUUUUUUAAGUUACAUCAAGUUUACAAUGUACAAGGUCGGAGUGAUCACAAAAGUGAUUCAAAGAAAUAACUUUGAACUGUUAUAAAUUAUUUAUAGUUUUGAAAUAUAUGCUAGCUUAAGUGACCAUCCUCAAUAAGAAGUAUAUAAGAGUUACUUAGACUUAUAAGAAGGUCGUGCCCACCGGCGCUUAACACCAAUCACAAUCAAAGUGACUCGUAACCUGCAGCAACAGUGGAAAUAAAACCCUAAGUACGCAAGUACUCAGCAAGACUUACCCGACUAAAUAAAAGACUCUCAAGGGUAUGCGAAUUUUAAAAGGAUUCAAGGUGAGGCUUAUCAAGAAUCAAGGACUCUGUUUGCAGAAAAACUUACUAUGAGUGGAUCCUUAAAAAUCCAUUUUUACUUGUCAGGUUAAGUAAAGUAACCUACAUCUAGAGUUCUUUCUAUCCUAGUUCAAGCACUUAGCCUAUACUAGCUGUCUUUUAUCAUCCAAUCAGUUCACUGGAUUGCUACGUGUAGGGCAGUGACCAAGUCUUCAUGUCCAAGAAGUAACGGCGAUCUGAAUCGAUUAAUACCCAGCUGGGGAUCUCCAAUCACACGACAUAUGUAGCACUUAACCCUUGCAUAUGUCAACUCGCCACCAGGUUUCUUAAGACCAGACCGGGUUCACGCCAACCAAGAGCACAGAUACACCACCGUCCAGCCUCUUGCCACGGAGAGUACACCCUACUCUCGCAAUCUCUGCACUCCCAUUUCGUGUUGGCCUUUCUGGUAUUAGUCUUGUCGGCGUUUCGAGACCGGGGGGUCCCUAAGCCGACGAGUGAAUGUCGCCGCGUGCCCCAGCCCAGAUGGGUCGACGCGAGGCCGAGCGCGAAGGGGGGAAGUGAGGUGGCCGGAGACAGGCGUGAGAGAGGUGGAAAUCCCGCGGCCUCCGUGUUCGUCCCGCGCCCAGGUCGGGUGCGCUUGCAGUAGGGGGUUACAAGCGUCCACGCGGGAGAGGGAGCGAGCGGCUUCAAGCGAGCGCCUGUCUCGUCCUCGUCCCCGCGCGGCCAACCCUCUCUAAGAGGGCCCUGGUCCUUCCUUUUAUAGGCGUAAGGAGAGGAUCCAGGUGUACGAUGGGGGGUGUAGCAGAGUGCUACGCGUCUAGCGGAGGAGAGCUAGCGCCCUAAGUACAUGCCGUUGUGGCAGCCGGAGAGAUUUUGGCACCCAGCUGGUGUGAUGUCGUGGCCGUCGGAGGAGUGAUGGAGCCUGGCGGAGGGACAGCUAUCAGAGCUGUUGAGUCCUUGCUGACGUCCUCUUACUUCCGUAAGGGGGCUGAGAGCCGCUGUCGUCACAGAGUAUGCGGGGCGCCAUCAUUGCCUAUCUGGCGGAGCGAGCCAGAUGGGACGCCGGUCUUGUUCCCCGUGGCCCGAGUCAGCUCAGGGUAGGGUGAUGAUGGCGCCUCCUGUUGACGUGGCUGGUCUGCGCCCUAGGUUGGGCGAUGUGGAAGCUCCUCCGAAGCCGAGGUCGAGUCUGUCUUCCGUGGCUGAGGUCGAGUCCGAGCCCCUGGUUCGGGCGAGGCGAAGACCGUCGGCUGAGGCCAGGGUGGAGUCCGAGCCCUGGGGUCGGGCGGAGCGGAGUUCGUCGUCUUCUGGGGCUGAGCCCAAGUCCGAGCCCUGGGUCGGGCGGAGCGGAGUUCGUCGUCUUCCGGGACUUAGCCCGAGUCCGAGCCCUGGGUCGGGCGAAGCGGAGUUCGUCGUCUUCCGCGACUUAGCUCGAGUCCGAGCCCUGGGUCGGGCGGAGCGGAGUUCGUCGUCUUCUGGGACUUAGCCCGAGUCCGAGCCCUGGGUCGGGCGGAGCGGAGUUCGCCGUCUUCUGGGACUUAGCCCGAGUCCGAGCCCUGGGUCGGGCGGAGCGGAGUUCGUCGUCUUCUGGGACUUAGCCCGAGUCCGAGCCCUGGGUCGGGCGGAGCGGAGUUCGCCGUCUUCCGGGGCUUAGCCCGAGUCCGAGCCCUGGGUCGGGCGGAGCGGAGCUUCCGAUGGUGCCUGCGGCCGGGCCUGACUGCCUGUCAGCCUCACUCUGUCAAGUGGCACCGCAGUCGAAGCGGCGCAGGCGGCACUGUCUUUUUGUCAGGCCAGUCAGUGGAGCGGCGAAGUGACGGCGGUCACUUCGGCUCUAUCGGCUGAAGGGCGCGCGUCAGGAUAAAGGUGUCAGGCCACCUUUGCAUUAAAUGCUCCUGCGAUUUGGUCGGUCGGUGCGGCGAUUUGGUCAGGGUUGCUUCUUGGCGAAGACAGGGCCUCGGGCGAGCCGGAAAUAUGUUCGCCGCUGGAGGGGGGCCUCGGGCGAGACGGAGAUCCUCCGGGGUCGGCUGCCCUUGUCCGAGGCUAGGCUCGGGCGAGGCGUGAUCGAGUCCCUCGAAUGGACUGAUCCCUGACUUAAUCACACCCAUCAGGCCUUUGCAGCUUUAUGCUGAUGGGGGUUACCAGCUGAGAAUUAGGAGACUUGAGGGUACCCCUAAUUAUGGUCCCCGACAAGUCUGCCCGAGGCAAAGCUUACCCAUGAUGAGGCAUGUGACCAGUUAAAAGGUCCUCAAUCAGCAAGCCUACAUCGGCACGGUCCUUAAUCGACUCAGACGGAGACAGUACACCGAGACUCUCUUCUCGUGCAAGUCACCCGUUCGGUCUCAGCUUUAUUAUUUAAAACCCAAAGUUUGGUACCUGGCAGAGGUAUCUUUUCUCAUGUUGAACCCAUCAAGGCCUUUGAUGGAUCCACCAUCACAAGUUUUUCUUUGCAAAAAUUCCCAUCCGUUGUGAAGCAUCACCUUUUGUUUUUAAACAAAACAUUUUGUUUUUCUAUAGCAAGGCUAAGCAUCAUAAAAUUCCUUUCAUAAAAAAGUAUCAAGGAAGGGUAAUCAAUUUUCCAAGGAAAGAAAUGCAUCAAUUGUUUAGCACACAACUUCUAUCACCUAACGCAUCAUAUAAGGUGAUAAAGAUUUUGAAACAACAAGGAGGUAGCAAAUGCACCAGGGCUUGCCUGGAUAACACUACGUUAGUGUUUUUAGGUGGCGACCACUUGGCGAUCAGCUUUUGUCUUGUCACUUGUUCAGAUUAUCCAUCUUUAGGUUCGUCCAUCAGCAUCACCUUGAGAUUAAUCCAGCUCUUGCCCUUCACAUCAUGUGAUCAACUAGCGUGCCUCAUGAGAUGCAUGAUGCACAUGUAUAAGCACGAGUAUAAAUAGCAUAAGAUAGAUAAUAUACACCGAAGAGGAUGAAAAACUUAUAACAAAACAUUAAGCAAAUACUAGCUAGCGAUGUACGACUAAUUAUAAUAAUUACGCUAUUCCAGUCUGUUCGGAGGUAACUUAUACAUCGCAAAACAAUAAAAUAUACACACGCUCUACUCUCCUUAACUAAUGUUCAACACUAGAAAAUUAACAAAUUCGAUUUAUUAGUAUAAGUCAUCUAAAUUUAGAAUAAAGAUAGAAGCAUAUUAACUAACUUUCUAAACCAUUUAUUCAAAUUAAUUUGGAUAUCAUACUAAUCACAUUAAACCCAUAUGUCUACUCAAACACUCCUUGCCACCGCGGUAUUUCAACAAGCAUACUACACAAGAUUAACCUCGCCACUUAUUACGUGUAUAAAACCUAGUUAAAUAUAUUCGACACAUACAACCAUCUAAACACCUUUCAUGUAACCUACGAAAAUUGACGAUUACCAGAUGAUGCUAUUUUUAAGACACCGUCACGAAUAAUACAUAUGCAACAAGCAUGGAUCAGACGACAUCACACAAUGCAUUAUGACCAAACACGAGAUUCAUCCCGACUAAAAAUAUUUGCCCAAGCUACUUAUUAAUCUAACAAGCAUUUCCGCACUUUCAGCUCACCAUAAUCCAUUGGAGGUAAAACAAACAGAACAUAAAUGACGAGUCCUUACCGCGAUCAAACCAACUUGAAAAUUCCCACAAUCGGCAACGAUCAUCAGUUUAGACGUUCCAUCAAACAUUUGGUGAGCACCGACCUAGAACUCCACUGUCUUCACCAUCAAGCGAUUUGCGCUCCGAAAAAGAAACGACGCAGCUGAAUCCCCAUGCUAUGAUGGUUGUUGCGCGUCGAGGCGAGGUUCGAGCGGGUUGACGGUGAGCAGGGGCGCGACAGCCGACAAGAUUGCGCAUAGAAGUCUGACGAUACAUCACAUGGUUGGUGAGGAUUAGAGUUAAGUCGACUCGAUAUUUGUAAGAACGACAACGAGAGCAAGGCCAUCCACGCGGCUGCUUGGGGAAGGCAAAGCAGGGACGUUGACCAGGCCCAUGGCGAGCUGAACCACGGCAGAUAAAAUAUGUUGACGAGAUAGACAACGGCUGGAUCCGACUUCACAGUCUUCUUUCCCAAAUCCACACAGACAUUGACCAAGGCUUAGGCUGCAGAUUUUCCUCCGUUGCUCCACGGAUGGCACAUGGACGGACGGCGAGCAGAGCAGGCAGGACGCCGGGCGUCACGGGCGAACAGGAAAAGGACUCGGGGCGGGAGCUCGACGCGCCGUGGCGAGCAGAGGGGCACGGCCGCGCGCGCAGCAGGGAGAAGCUUGGAGGCGACGACCAUGGCGAGCACAGGGAGGGAGCAGGCACGGUUGGGCUGGGCGACUCCAUGGGCAGACAGAGAGUAGGGUGAGGCGCCAGGGAGAUCCGACCGGCGCCACCAUAGGAGCAGGGGAGGAGCAGAGGCCGAGCUCGUCGCCGCUGGGCGAGCAGGGCGUGAUGGAGAUGGCCGAGAAGGAGGAAUCCGAGCGCCGUCUAGGGAGCAGGCACGCCAUGGGGAAGGGAGCAGAAGGGCGGCCGACGAUGGGGCUCUGAGCACCAAGCUAGAACAGGGAGGAGCAGGGGCGCCAGGGAGCUGCAGCCGGCCAUGGAGAGACCUCGGCUGGGGCGAGCACCAGGGAGGGCGGCCAUGGCGGGAUUUCUGCAGAAUGGGAAGAUGGAGGGGAGAUGGCUGGCGUGGAGAGCUUGGCCGCCAACAAGAUAAGGAGCCUAGCGCGGUAUAGGUUUCAGAAAAAAUCAACGAAGUGAUAGGAACAAACACAAAAAAAAAUCAACAACGGAGGAUAAUGCCGAGGGCCUGGGAAUCAGAUGAGGCUGAGGGAGUACGAAAGUAGAAGGAUAUUUUUCUGAGGUAUUUUUAUUUUUCUCCUUUCUUUCUCAAAGAAUACAGAAAUAUUCUGAUUCUAGGAUUAGAGUUUGGGUGAGAUAUAAACGGACCGAACCAAAACACUAUUGAAAUACGAUACUUGAGACACCAUUAAUUUAGUUGAACCCGGAUAAAAAUUUAUCUGUUAUCCGAACCCAUUUGAUUCCUUAGUUAACACACAGGGUCAAGAAUAUUUUGAAAUUAGGAUUUUCAGCGAUAACUAAAGAGUCGACGCGCUAUACGGCAAACGACUACACGCUCCAUUUUCCGAAUCACGAAACGGAAAAAUCCGAGGAUUACGAUUCUGGCUAAAUUUCGUUUAGAUCGUUUUCGUGACUAUUAUGGGCAAAACGUAAACUGUUGGGGACUUGUUCUCAAAUGCUUCAAGAACAAGGCAACAUAGAAAAUGUUAAUCGGUUAAGUCCUUCGUCCUACGAAGCAUUAUUUCCCUUGGGAUACAAUGAUUUUCGGACGAAGGUCACAAAGGGUGAACCUUUAUAAAUGCAUUACAUAUUAACGAAGAAUGAAUUACAAGAAACAUAAAGAAUUACGUAGAUCAUCAUAUAUCAUCAUUACAUAUAAAUAAAAAUAACAUUGAAUUACAGAUGUACCUCCAAUUUGAAGGAAGUGAAAGUACAAGUGUGACGCAAAAGUGAACACCAAAUCAGCGUGAACAGUACGGGGGUACUGUUCACCUAUUUAUAGGCACGGGGUACAACCCAUACAAAAUUACAUACAUGCCCUUUACAUUUGGUGGUAAUUCUAUAGUAAUCUAUCGAGGUCUAAAUGGCCUUUUCAUCUUCAAGUCGGUUCCCUUUUCUGCGAACAUGCCGAAGCUUUCCUGCUUUACAGCUUCGGCGCUGUGUCAACCUUCGUAUCUUUUGAGCUUCUCCCUCUCUGAUACGAGUCCGAAGAUACCUGUUCACACAUUAUACUCUAGAAACACUGUUAAAUCAUGUUUUUGAGGACCUUCGGAAGCCGAAGGCCCCCAACAGUAGCCCCUCGCAAUAUUAAUUUGUUAAAAUAAUAAAUUUAGAUUGCGACAUGGACGAAGGAUUUAAGCCGAAGGUCCGAAAAAACACCUUCCCUUUGCUAGAAUAGCAACAUUCACUGACAGGCGGGGUCUUUCCAUUUUUACCGCACCGAGCGUAUAAAUAAGAGCACACCGCGAGCUCAUUUGGUACGCUCUCUUGUCACUUGCUCUCGCUCGGUCGAUUUUUAGCUUUUGCGCGCUAAGAUUCCCUGAGUCUUUAAUUUUAAAGCUUCAGCUUUGAAAACAGUUUUUUAGUAUUUCCGAAGAUGUCUGGAGACAAGAAAGCUGUUGCUGAGACGAAGCUGUCUCUUGAUGAAGAGAAAAAGAAAACUGCUGGUGAGACGAAGCUGACUCUUGAUGAGGAGAAAAACUUGGGGUUUCUUAUAGCGAUGUCGAAGACAAACACGGAAAAAAUUACCAAGGAAAUUCUGGAAGGCUUGUCUGAGGAUACUGGUGACAGUGACAGUUAUGAUGUGGACAGCGGUAGCGAAGACUCCGAAGAUCGUCCCUGGCGACCAAGCCAUUCAGUUUAUGGUAAAUCAACUAUCAAAGAGAAUCAUCUUGUCAACAUGAGAGGAAGGUAUUUUCGGGAUUUGUCCAUUGUGAGGGCCGAUGAAGGAGAGAAGACUUGUCCACACCCUGAAGAAAAUGAAGUCGUAGUAUACCGAAGCUUUCUGAAAGCUGGGCUACGAUUUCCCUUGAGUAGCUUCGUCGUGGAGGUGUUGAAAAUUUUCGAAGUCUAUCUUCAUCAACUUACUCCCGAGGCAAUUAUAAGGCUAAAUAUCUUCGUGUGGGCCGCGAGAAGCCAAGGUCUGAAGCCUGAUGCAAGAAGCUUCUGUAAUAUACACGAAUUAUUAUAUGAAACGAAGCCUUGGGGCAAAGAACAGUACCAUAAUAACUUUGGCUGCUACAGUUUCGUCUCUCGGUCCGGGGCAAGCUGUCCCGUACCAACCUUUCGGAAGAGAUGGCCCGGGGAUUGGAUGACAGAAUGGUUUUAUGUGAAGAAUGACCUAUCAGCACGAGAAGAUAUCAAAGGUAUAAUUAUGCGUCCUAUUUGGCAAAGCUUCGGCCUUCGGAGGCCGAAGGUGGAAAUGAAUGAAGCUGCCGAAGAAUGCCAGAGGGCCUUCGGCGUCAUCUGCUCUUUUAUUGGAACAAGAGAUUUAGUACAAGAGCAUAUUGCCUUCCGGGUUUGGCCUCUUGCGGAGAAAUGGGAAAUGCCUCAAGAAACCAUAAAAGAGGCCGACGAAGGUGGGCUUGUGAGACUGAAGUACACCUUCAAGUUUGGAGAUAAGUUUACUGAGCCAGAUGAUGACUGGCUAAAGAGUAUUGAAAAUUUAACUGACGAAUUGCUUGGUGCUUAUUCAAAGGCCGAAGAUACUGCGAUGUCAGCAGCCUUCGGAGGCCGAAAAAAGAAAAGGCUGAAUCGGGUAUUUGAUGCAAUUGGGUUUGUUUACCCUGACUAUUGCUACCCCGUCCGAAGGCAGAAAAGAAAGAACACAAUCUCUGCAAAAGAAGAAGCUGCAACUGCUCCUAGCGAGCCAGAGCCUGAAAGAAAGAAAAUAAAAGUCCUCACUCACCGGCCGCGGUAUAUCGAACCAGCUUCGGUGCCGGAGUUUACCGAAAAAUCUUCUUCGGCUACCGAGGCUAAAAAGCCAACCAGACCAGUCACGCCACCUGCAGCUGCAGGGAUGACCGAAACGGCGAAAAAGAUAGUACUAGAAGAACCGAAGGUUUCGCUGCCAGAAACAAAAGAAAUGGCCGAAGCGCCAUCCACAGAAAAAAUUGGAGAAGUGAAAAAACCAACUGAAGAAAAAGUACCAGAAAUUGUGAGUCCUGCAGCAAAUGUUGAGACAAUAAAAAAUCAAAAAGUGCCAGCAGUGACUCCAAAAAGAAGAAGAAUGGCCAAUGUGCUAGAUGUACUAGAAACGAUUAAAACUUCAAGCACACCUCCGAAGAGGGCUGCUGCCAUUCCUGAAACGACAACUGAAAUUUCUGAUAACAAAACUCCAGUGCAAGGGACUGAAGCCGAAGCUGGGUCCUCAGAGCCCGCGAAGAUAGAAUCCUUAGAAACUGAGGAAAAAAUAACAAAGCCAACUUUUGUUGAAGAGAUCGGAGUCAUUGCCCCCGAAGCAUCCAUCAGAGCUCGUGAUUAUAUUAUUCGUCAUGCUUCGGGGAAAAAACUUUCAGAAAAAGAGGAGCAAGAAGCCCAGCAUUACGCCCAAAAGCUGAAGUAUCCAAAGGGGGCGUUAAUAUUCAAUGGUAGUGGAGAAGAAGACUUUUUGUAUUGUCUCCCUGACAACAAGGAAAUUUCUGUUUGCCGGGAGAUGAGCAAGAGCUUCGGAUUCCCAACCUUAGAAGACGGGCUCUCAGUGCUGUCGAAGAACGAUUUGGCCGACAGCCUGGCCUACAAUAGCUUAAAGGUGCGACAAAUGGGAUCCUUGUAUUCUUUGUUGAUACCAAAAAAAACCUUUUGCUUGUUUUAUUGAAACACACAUACUUUUCUUUGCAGGGCCUGAUACUUAGUAAUGCCCUCAGGGCACAAAAAGAUGCUGAAGACGAAGGGUGUACUAUAGCCCUGAGCAACCUUCGUUCCGAAGUAAUUGAACUGAGGAACGAAGGCCUCGAAAAAGAUAAAAUAUUACACUCAUUGGUAAAUAAAAUAAAGGAAGACGAAGCUGCGUUCAAGAGUCAGGCUGAAGCUCAGAGACGCGAAAUAGAAGAUCUUCGGAAACAACUGGCCAGAGCCAGGGAAGAACGUAUACUUGAAGAAACAAGGCGAGAGCUCAGCGACCAAUGGGCGGAUCACUUGGAAGCAACUGUUGAAGAGCUUCGUUCAUCAAAAAAGAGGUGCUAUAACAAAUCUAUAGAAUGUGUUAAGAAGUUGAAGGCUAGCUUCGCCAGGGUCGGCGCCUUCUCUAGUGAAGAAAACUUUAUAAGAGGCAAUCCCGAAGGUCCUAUUGAAUGGAUCGACCACGAAGCUGAAGCCUUCGAAGAAAUUUUAAAUAGCCGUGGGGAUAUAUGUGCUUUCUCUGGGGCCAGAGGAAUUGCCACCAUUCUAGAGAAGAAGGGCUGUGAACACGUAAAAAUCUUAGCACAAUCCGAAACUGCUUUGUCCUUUGAAGACACAAAAGACCCUUCGGCCGAAGCAAGCAUAAUUGGUGGAAAGUUUUUUACUGAUAUCUGGGAUAAUGGUGGCCGAGAAAUGGCAGGAGAUAUUAUUCAAAGAAGUGAAAAGGGCAUUCACGAUGCUAGAGAAGUGGCUAAGGCUGCUGAAAAGAGCACAGAGCCCGAAGGUCAAUUAGGUAUUAACUAAUAGUUUGUAUUGUGUUGUAAUUUUUGGUUUUAAGCUUCGUUUUCCGUUUGUAAUAGCAGCAUAGCCGUGUCCUGUCCUUCAGAUCCUGCUGAAGCGUCUCCAGGCCCUCAGCCGAAAGGAGACGAUGAAAUUAAAAAGAUGGCCGAAGCAAUCAUGGAUGAAGUCGUCAAUCGACUCCUGAAUGAGGCUGCAGAAGUUGUUCUAAAAGAAAAUUGAACACUAUUGUAAAGUAAACUUCUGAAUUGUAACAUUUUGUAAUCCUGAAUGUAAUAUACCCUUUUUAUUGCUUAAUUCUUUACGAUGCAUGAAACUUUAUACGUACCGCUUUUUGAGUCUUUGACGAAAAAACACCUUCCCUUCUUUUCAUGCUUCGUGAAGAAGGAUUUUUGUUUGUCACAACAAUAUCCAGUGUUCUGAUGAAUAAUAUCCAGGCUUCUUGACAAUGUGAAGCUACUUAGCAUGGUUUACCCUUUUUCAAAACAUUCUUACGAAGAUCGAUGUCACAUCCCCUUCUUGUGCUUUAUGCAAUAUGAUGUAUGAUGCUUAUGUUAUGCGAAAUGAUGCGAUGAUGUUAUGCUGAAUAAAUGUUGUUUAUUCCGAAGAUACACGCGUUCCUGUGGCAAAACAUACAAAAAUUUUCAUUAUAAGCCUCCCUUAGGAGCUUCUUCGCCUUUUACUUCAGCGGAAUCAGCGUUGACUUUUCGCUGUAAGCUCUGCAUUCCCUUAGGAACGUCUUUGGAGCUUCUUCGCCUUUACUUUUGGCGGAAUCAGCGUUGACUUUUCGCUGUAAGCUCUGCAUUCCCUUAGGAACGACUUUGGAGCAAAAAACUUACACUGCGUUCCCUUUGGAACGACUUUUUUGUGACUUCGGCAACUUACUCUGCGUUCCUUAGAACGACUUUUUGCUGUUUCGAAUAAAUUCGGUAGUCCGAAGGUCCUCUUGAUUAUCACAAGUCUUUAAACUUUAACAAUUUAAGCCUGAGAAAAAUAUAUUUUCCUUGUGGGAAUCAACGAAAGUAUUUAUAUGAAACCUAAACAAUAUCCUUUAUUACAGAAAACAAAACUGGAUAGAAAAGAUUGCUAUUAGGGUAGGAUAUUUGUCAAUAGAUGUGCUUUGACUCUGGCACGGUGCUGUUGACUGUACGAGCUUCGGACUGCUCUCGGAAGUCCCUUUGGUGUGGAGCAUACUGGCUCCCUUCUGGCUGCUGUCCUUGCUGUAACGGAGGUGGAGGCGGAGGUUGUUGCCAAGAAGCUUGAGAUUGACUCGUCGAAGCAACAGAAACUGCAGGGUGGUUGCCUACAUACUCUGGGAUGUAGGGCGAGUGAUACGAAGCUGUAUGCAUGACCUGCUUCGGCUGAGCUUGUUGUGCUGCGGCUUCGGCUAUUUCCUUUUGCUUCUGGAUGGUAACAUGACACAUCCUGGUAGUAUGGCCCUUGUUUUCACCACAGAAUAAGCAAAAGAUUCUUCUCUGUUGAUCGCCAAAUCUUCCUCCGAAGCCCCUGGCACCUCUGCCUCUUGGAGCUGGUGGUCGGAAGGGAGCUUGCUGUUGCCCCGAAGCCUGUGAGGAAUAUUGUGGCCUUUGCUGUUGGCUCCCCUUAUCAUCACUUUGUGUAGAGUUAUGAAUUGAUCUAACAUGCCUCGGGUAAAACCUCCCACCGAAGCCCCUGGUCAUUUCAGAAAACCUGAAGGCCUCCUCCCUUCUUUGGCAAAAAUCGUUAUCGGCCCGAAUGUACUCAUCCAUCUUCUGGAGAAGCUUCUCCAAAGUUUGAGGGGGCUUCCUGGCGAAGUACUGAGCUGACGGUCCUGGCCGAAGCCCCUUGAUCAUGGCCUCAAUGACAAUCUCAUUGGGCACCGUUGGUGCCUGUGCUCUCAAACGCAAGAACCUUCGGACAUACGCCUGAAGGUAUUCUUCGUGAUCCUGGGUGCACUGGAACAGAGCCUGAGCAGUAACCGGCUUCGUCUGAAACCCUUGGAAGCUAGUUAACAAGAGGUCCUUCAGCUUCUGCCAUGAAGUGAUCGUUCCUGGUCGAAGGGAGGAAUACCAGGUUUGAGCAACACUUCUGACAGCCAUAACAAAAGAUUUGGCCAUGACCGCAGCAUUGCCACCAUAGGAAGAUACUGUUGCCUCGUAGCUCAUCAAAAACUGCUUCGGGUCUGAGUGGCCAUCGAAUACGGGAAGCUGAGGAGGCUUGUAGGACGGAGGCCAAGGUGUAGCCUGCAGCUCAGCGGACAGAGGAGAAGCAUCGUCAAAAACAAAAUUCCCAUGAUGGAAAUUGUCAUACCAGUCAUCUUCGUUGGGAAAACCCUCCUGAUGAAGGUCUUGGUGCUGAGGCCUUCGGUGUUGCUCAUCCUGAGCAAGGUGACGAACUUCUUCAGAGGCUUCGUCUAUCUGCCUCUGUAGUUCAGCUAGUCUGGCCAUCUUUUCUUUCUUCCUCUGCACUUGUUGAUGAAGCAUCUCCAUAUCCCUGAUUUCUUGAUCUAGCUCGUCCUCUGGUGGUGACGGGCUAACAGCCUUCCUUUUCUGGCUUUGGGCCUCCCGAAGAGAGACUGUCUCCUGAUUAUGGUCCAGCGGUUGUAGAGCUGCAGUCCCAGGUGCUGAAGCUUUCUUCGGCGCCAUAACGAAGGUUUAUGAUCGCCGAAGAUAAAAAACUUCAAAGAGUGGAAGUGAGUUCACCGGAGGUGGGCGCCAAUGUUGGGGACUUGUUCUCAAAUGCUUCAAGAACAAGGCAACAUAGAAAAUGUUAAUCGGUUAAGUCCUUCGUCCUACGAAGCAUUAUUUCCCUUGGGAUACAAUGAUUUUCGGACGAAGGUCACAAAGGGUGAACCUUUAUAAAUGCAUUACAUAUUAACGAAGAAUGAAUUACAAGAAACAUAAAGAAUUACGUAGAUCAUCAUAUAUCAUCAUUACAUAUAAAUAAAAAUAACAUUGAAUUACAGAUGUACCUCCAAUUUGAAGGAAGUGAAAGUACAAGCGUGACGCAAAAGUGAACACCAAAUCAGCGUGAACAGUACGGGGGUACUGUUCACCUAUUUAUAGGCACGGGGUACAACCCAUACAAAAUUACAUACAUGCCCUUUACAUUUGGUGGUAAUUCUAUAGUAAUCUAUCGAGGUCUAAAUGGCCUUUUCAUCUUCAAGUCGGUUCCCUUUUCUGCGAACAUGCCGAAGCUUUCCUGCUUUACAGCUUCGGCGCUGUGUCAACCUUCGUAUCUUUUGAACUUCUGCCUCUCUGAUACGAGUCCGAAGAUACCUGUUCACACAUUAUACUCUAGAAACACUGUUAAAUCAUGUUUUUGAGGACCUUCGGAAGCCGAAGGCCCCCAACAUAAACGAACCAGAUUAAAAUGAGUUUGACUUCAGUAUUUUAAUUUGCAUUUGAUUCAGUUGACUUUAGACGAAUUUUAAAUAGGCACAAGGCUAGCAAACUUUCAGAACAAUUACGUUCUGAAAUUCGCGAAAACUUUAGGAGGAGUCUAAAUAGACAGAAACAGAUGCGAUAUUAAAAUCGCGAUAGAUAAAGAUGAUUACAAUUUAGCAUCUAUUUUAUCCACCGCUAUCAUGUGUUAAAGUCCGCACUCGUGGUCGAGCAGAUGAUAAACACCUGGGGUGUUACAGCCCUCCCCCCUUAAAAGAAUCUCGUCCCGAGAUUCGGAACGAAAGACUUCUAAGAGUAGAGAAGCAUGUAACCCAUGUCCAUAUCAGCGGUAAUCAUAAGCGAGCGUCUCGGGGUUUUGUUUCUCUAGUGGACAUAUCAUGUAUCGCCUUAAGCUAAUUUAGAGAUGUCCACCAAUAUAGACGAUGUCUGCCAGAAGAACACAUAAGGUUCCAUGUGUGCAGUUUGCUUUUUCUGAUGACACUGUACUAUCUGAGUCUAUUGAGCGAACGACUAAUACGCGAUUUUACCCAAACAGAACCAGAUGCAACCUCUUGGGUAAAACACACGGAAAGAGGUUUACCAACAAGUGGUCACUGGAAAUUCAUAACACAUAAGACGAGUGUGGAUGUCGAACAACAUCACAGUUAACUCGUGUUAGCCAGAGAAUCCAAGUCCAUGGAAAAUGAUAGACUCGAAAAAUCACCAGCGAAGGGAUCUGUAGAUGCAGACUUUGCAACCAGUCCAUUUUAUCCAGCACUAAUCAUGGCUCGACUUGAUCACACACGUUGGUAAACCAUACGUGAGACGAUCGAGGCAUGACUAUAGCGAUAAUUAGGUGGUUAUUAGUCGACUUGACUUGAUUCUUGCAAGUACUUCCUUAGGAUGGGUUGAACCAAAGUGAGUUUAGGCAACUCGACAAAACGAUCUCUAAACUUAACCUUUGUUCACAAUGUAGCUACAAGUUAGUAAAACCAACUUGUUGAACUACCUAUGACAUUGAAUAGGUCCUCUUAUUAUCCAUCGGCAAGCCAAGGGUUGAGAGUUCAUUCUUAUUAAUAGUUGAUCAUGCAUUUGGGUAGAAAUCCAUUUGGUCAUGUUGUUCAUCCAUUUCUUCCAUGUGAGAUGAACUGACUUGGUUAGGGAAUACAUGGAUUAAAUAAGAAAGCGAAUGAACAAACUCUUGCAUUUCAGCAGCAGGGAAAACCAAUCUCCAUUUUGAGAGCUAAUCAGUUGUUUCUCAACACUAAAAAGCUUCAAAGCUUCACCUUUACACAAAGGACGUAAAGGGAACUUGUAUAAGUAGUCACUACCAAGAUCAAAAGAAAAGAGACCACAUAUGAAAGUGGUAUGCCCCUUUGAUCCAACAGAGAUUGUUGGGGCGAAGGCGAAGACGCCACCCUUCGCUCGAGGCCUUUGCCGCGGUCGUUGGUCCAACGGAGACAAGACAACGGGCAGGAACACCCUUCGCUCCAUACGACAUCGGACGAAGACCUGUGACGAGGUCAUCCCACCGUGCGGCCUCGUCCAGCAUGGAGGCCCACGUGUGAUUCGGCCCAUUGUAACAGGCCCUGCGUGGUCGCUGCGUGUUACGGGCCUAAUUUGUAAAGGCGCCUCUGUAAUUACAGUCUGUAACCCCGCUUUAUGGGAAUAUUCUGGGGAUAACCUAGGUGUCUAAGGGCACAUGCGUCCUUAACACAAGACGCUGGGCACUCAGAUACCUAUAAAUACCCCCGCACAGUGCCCUUGAGAGGCUAGAUUAACAGAGCUAUUGCCAUCUUGCGCGAGAACCCUGUUUACGUCUCUACACACCCCCGUUGGAUCCCCUUGCGACAGAGAGCAAGUUCCAACAUUUGGCGCCCACCGUUCGUGCGACGAAAAAACCACCCGCGAUGGCACCCAAGAAAGUUAACUCGAAGGCUGACGAGGCUGCGAAGGCAGCACUGCUGGCCACAAAAAAAGGCAAGGCCCUCGCCCUCACCCACUCCACUCACCACGAGGCUACUGAAGACGACGUUCUCCGCACCUGCGAAGACGUUGCUCUCCGCACCUGCGGCCCUGAAGGACAAUCGCAACCCCCCAAGGCUUCGCCCCACCGGAGGGCGCGGACCUCACCGAGGACGGCGAGGUCCUCGGCGUCUCGGCGGAAGAACAGCUAUAGCUGCGCGCCCUACGCCUCAAGAACCGCAAUCUCCAGAGGCAAAAAGAGAUACUGGAGGCCAAGCGCCAGCGUGUGUCCGCACUAGCCAAGGUGCGGCAAAUGAUACGCGACGAAGAGCACUAGGCCCAGGACCUCGAGCGGGAGAUCCCGCUGAUGCAGCGCGAAGGCCACCUCGGCCUGCAGCAUGGGCCACCCCUGCAACAGCGCGCACAACUGGAAGACAUGCGCGAAGGCCACCUUGGCCUGCAGCAUGGGCCACCCCUGCAACAGCGAGCACAGUUGGAAGACCCGCGUUUCCCCCAGCGCGACCACGCCUUCCCGCACGCCGUGCCAUUCCAAGGGGUCAACUACCUCGAUGAGCGAAGUCCCUUGGCGCCACAUCUGCAUUGGCCCGCCAACUUCCGGACAGGGACCUAUCCCAAGUACAACGACAGCACUGACCCAGCACAAUACAUAAUGAGUUAUCAGGUCGCUGUUGCAUCUUCCGGAGGGGACGACGCCACGAUGGCCAAGUCUUUCAUCAUCGCCCUCGAAGGUCCAGCUCUCACCUGGUUCACCAGGUUGCCUCCGCUGUCCAUUGAUUCCUGGAGAAGCCUCCGGGACAAGUUCCUGCUCAACUUCCAAGGGUACCGCCCGGACACCGACGCCUUGGCCGAACUCUCGCUCUGCAAGCAGCUGGAAAAGGAGACUCUGCGGGAGUAUUACCGCAAAUUUCUAACACUCAAAUCACAGCUGCCCUCAGUCAAUGACCAGAUCGCCAUCCACUACGCCAUCAGUGGCCUUCGCGCCGGCGUCCUCUAUAGCCACUGCAUCAGAGAUCCGCCCAAGAACCUCUAGGAAUUAUUUCAGAUAUUUGAAAAAUACGCCAAAUGCGAAGAGCUCCACCAGCGCAAGGUUGAGUCUCAAAGGAAGCCCAAAGAGGCUCCACAGUCCAGCCGCACGUGGACGAGGACUCCGCAGCAAGACUCCGGUCGAGACGGCCGCAAUCAACAGUAAGUGCACAACAUCGCCAACCAGCACCCCGCUGCUGACGCCCCUCGUCGCCAGGAAUAUCCCCCCCAGGGCCACGGAAGUGGAACUCGCGGUAGGGGCCGGGGGCGUGCGCAGCCGCCGCGCCGAUUCUACUGUCUCUUCCAUGGUGAAGACUGCGCCCAUCAAACCAAAGACUGCCCAGAAACGAAGGCCACCAAAGACAGGAUGGCACGGGCACAGCCAGCCGACAACCCCAGAGUUGUCGCGCACACUUAUCAGCAACCCCCUCCACCCUACAUCCACGCCCCCGCCCCGCAUCCACCGCACCACGCAUACCAACACCACCAGGAAGUACAAAUCGUACCUCCUCCAUGCCACCUCCACACCAGCAACAUCAGAACAUCCCCCACCCCCACGCCCCAAAACAAGAAGACUUCGCCGAUCAGCCGUAUCGCGGAGUCAUUCAUAUGAUCACUGGGGGGUCCAGCACCGACUUCGACACAAAGCGGCAGAAGCGGGACCUCUACCGCAGCAUCAACCACGUCGCCAUCACCGGCCCGGUCGUGUAGACGAAGUGGUCCCACGUACCGCUAACCUUCGACGCACGAGACGUCGACCUGCGCAGCGCCCCCCACAUCGACGCCAUGGUUAUCAACUGCAGUGUGGCAGGCUAGGAUCUACACAAAGUCCUAGUCGACAAUGGCAGUCAAGCAGACAUCAUUUUCCUCCAUGCCUUCGACCGCAUGGGCAUAAGCCACAGCCUGCUCAAGCCUUCGGACAACCCGUUGUAUGGCUUCGGCGGCAAGGGCACUUUUCCUGUCGGCAAAAUAGAGCUGCCUCUCUCCUUCGGUGUAGCACCCAAUGCCCGAAGUGAGCAAGUGACCUUUGACAUUGUGGAUAUGGUAUAUCCGUACAACGCCAUCAUGGGCCGGGGCUCCAUCAACAAGUUUGAGGCAGCUAUUCACGGACUGUACCUGUGCAUGAAGAUACCAGGUCCGUUAGGCGCCAUUGCGAUCUACGGCAAUCAGCAGACCGCGCGCAACAUAGAGCGGGACAUCGUCCCCAGACAAAGAAACGUGCACUGCCUCACGGCCCAGCGCGAGGUCCCUGCGUCCGUCAGCCCAACCGACAAAGAGCACGACAAGGCACAGCUGUAGAGCAACGACGGGACCAAGACUGUCCCCCUCGACCAGGCCACGCCCAAGCAGACAGUCACUAUCAGCGAAUACCUCACUUCGCAUGAAGAGGAGAAACUCCUCUGCUGCCUGUCCAAAAACAAAGAUGUCUUCGCCUGGUCAGCCCUCGACCUGGUCGGGGUCAGCCGAUCCAUAAUUGAGCACAGCUUGGGAAUCGACCCUUCGGUGAGACCAAAAAAACAGCGGCUUCGCAAAAUGUCCGACGAGAAGACAGAGGCCGCCAAGGCAGAGGUGCACCGCCUCCUGGAAGCCAAAUUCAUCGAGCCGGUGGCUUACCCCACGUGGCUCUCCAAUGUUGUGAUGGUGCAGAAAAAGAGCGACAAGUGUCGAAUGUGCAUCGACUUCACCAGUCUCAACAAGGCCUGCCCAAAGGACAACUUCCCGUUGCCGCGGAUCGACAAAAUAGUCGAUAGCGCGGCCGGAUGCGAAGUCAUGUCACUCCUCGACUGCUUCUCCGGUUACCACCAGAUAUACAUGAAGGAGGAAGACAAGGCUAGCACCAGCUUUAUAACACCCUUCGGCACAUAUUGCUUCAUUAGAAUGCCGGAGGGACUCAAGAACGCCGGGUCCACCUUCUCCAGGCUUACCAAAACAGUGCUCGAAGGGCAAGUUGGCAGAAAUAUAUUCACAUAUGUGGACGACAUCGUCGUCGCCAGCAAGAGCAAGGAGGACCAUCUCGCUGACCUCGCCGAGACAUUCGCGAACAUGCGAGACACACGACUCCGCCCAAACCCAGAAAAGUGCGUCUUCGGCGUUCGCCAAGGCAAAAUAUUGGGCUACCUGGUAUCACACCGCAGCAUCGAGGCCAACCCGACCAAAAUUCAGGCCAUCAUAAACAUGACGCCUCCGCAGUCCGCCAGAGACGUCCAGCGCCUGACGGGCAGAUUGGCCGCCCUCAACAGAUUCAUCUCCAGGUCCGCUGAGCGAAGUCUUCCUUUCCUCAAAACUCUCCGUGGCGCAAAAGACUUCACUUGGGGACCAGAGCAGGCAGCGGCCUUCGCCUCAUUAAAAUAGUACCUGUCGGAGUUGGCAGUCCUUACAAGCCCCGACUCUUCACUCCCCUGUUGCUCUAUGUUGCGGCUUCGCCGCAUGCGGUUAGCGCGGCACUGGUGCAGGAGCAGACAGUUGAGGGCGUGAUCAGGCAGUGCCCAAUUUAUUACGUCUCCGAAAUGAUGACACCGUCCAAAUGUAACAUGACAGAACUGGAGAAGAUUGCCUACGCAGUCGUUAUGUCUUCGCGCAAAUUGCGCCAUUAUUUUGAAGCAUUCAAGGUCCGGGUCACCUCAGACAGGGGACUCGGCGAAUUGUUCAGAAACCUGGAAGCAUCGGUGAGGAUUGCCAAGUGAGCGGCCGAACUCUCCGGCUACCACAUCAAUUUCGAGCCCAGGAUAGCCAUCAAGUCAUAAGUCCUGGCAGACUUCGUCGUCGACUGGACUGGGCCAAUAACACAGCCGGACCCGUCCGCAGAGAAGGUUUGGACGAUCCACUGCGACGGCGCAUGGUGCCAUGCGGGGGCAGGCGCCGCUGCAGUCAUCACGUCACCAACCGGAGUCAAGCACAGAUAUGCAGCACGCCUCAGCUUUGCUCUGGAAUCUGACAGAUGCACAAAUAACAUAGCAGAAUACGAAGCAGUCAUCCUCGGCCUCCGCAAGCUGAGGGCCCUUGGGGUCACCACCUGCAUCAUCAAAACAGACUCCAAUGUAGUUGCCGGCCAAGUUGAGAAAGACUAUGCAGCAAAGGACCCCGCACUUAUGCAAUACCUCACGGCCAUUCGAAGUCUCGAGAGACAAUUCAAGGGGUUCACCUUGCAGCAUGUGGACCGGGCCAAGAAUGAAGAGGCCGACGCAUUGGCCAAGGCUGCCGCAAGAGGCGAGUCCCUGCCCUCCGACCUGUUCUUCCAUGUCAUCGGCACGCCAGCCGUCCGGAGCCCCGAAGGGCUCCAAAUAACCAAUGACAGCGAGGGCCACUGCAUAGUCAACCUUAUCAUGACCGAAGACUGGCGGGCACCAAUAACCCUGUUCCUACAGGGGUACUAUCAACCAACCGACAUCAGCGAGGCCAAGCGCCUCAAACAUCGAAGCCGGGACUUCGCACUGAUUGAGGGCCAACUCUACAAGAAGGGGGUCAGUCAGCCAAUGCUUAAAUGCGUCACCGAAACCGAAGGUGUCCAGAUCCUACGCGAAGUCCACAGUGGUACCUGCGGCUCUCACGCAGGGCCAAGGGCCCUAGCUGCUAAGGUGAUCCGCCAAGGUUUUUACUGGCCGGCAAUGAUCUGCACCGCAAAUCGGGUCACAAGGUCCUGCGAAGCCUCCCAGAAGUUUUCUCCUCGAUCAGGCAGCCCCUCGCAAUUUACAAAGCUGAUCGCCCACACAUGGCCUCUCCAGCGCUGGGGCUGGACAUCGUCGGGCCCCUGCCCACGGCUCAGGGGAACCUUAAGUUCGCCUUCGUCGCUGUCGAAUACUUCACCAAAUGGAUCGAGGCAAGGGUUGUUUCCAUAAUAACAUCAAAGACUGCCCAAAAAUUCUUUUGGCAAAACAUUGUUUGCCGCUUCGGAGUACCGUCCGAACUAACAAUUGACAACGGCAAGCAGUUUGAUAGCCAAGACUUCAAGGAUUUUUGCUUCUCCAUUGGCACCAAGCUUGCCUUCGCCUCAGUCUACCACCCGCAGUCCAACGGAGUUGUGGAACGCGCCAAUGGAAAAAUCUUCACAGCUAUCAAAAAGAUGCUCCUCGACGAAAAAGGGCAGGUGGACAGAUUUAUUACCAGAGGCGGUCUGGGCGCUAAACACGACUGAGUGCAGGGCGACCGGUUCACUCCUUUCCGCCUUCUAUAUGGAUCGGAGGCCAUGACCCCACAAGAAAUAAAACAUGGGUCCCCGCGAACAGUUCCGUCAGCCGUCCCCGACGUGGACGAGCCCACUUCGAAGGAUCUCAUCGAUGGAGACCGAGUCUUCGCCUUACAGGCUCUAAAUAAAUACCAAGCCCAGACAAAAGCAUGGCACGACCACGCAGUCGUCCCGAGGGAAUUCAGCGAAGGGGACCUCGUACUCGUCCGAACAGCUAGGACAGAGUCCAGGGGCAAGCUGGAGCCCAAGUGAGAGGGCCCCUUCAUUGUUAAGACGAAAGCUUCCCCCAGCGCUUACAGGCUCGCAACGCCAAACGACGAAGACCUGGAGCACUCCUGGAACAUUGACAAUCUUCGCAAAUUUUUUGUUUGACUCAUCAGGGCCGAUUCGCCCUUGUAAUUCGCAAAAACAAUUUUAUUCUGGCCCGCACUCUUUUCCUCCUGGGGGUGAGGUUUUUAGCGAGGCGGAGCCAUGUAAUAUACAAGUGAAAAAUCCCCCGCAAAAACAUGCGUCGAAAAAAGACCGCGACGACGGUCUUCGACAUUCGACCAAUACAAAGUCACCGCGAGGCUCAGCGCUAGCCACCCUCGCGUGCGACAACUCCGUGCAGAAGUUGCCUAAGGGUGCAGCCGGACUAGCACAAUAAGUGCGAAAAAUCGAAGUCUACCGCGAAGACUAUCCGUGCAGAAGUCGCCUAAGGGUGCAGCCGGACUAGCACAACAAGUGCGAAAAAUCGAAGUCUACCGCGCAGACUAUCCGCGCAGAAGUCGCCUAAGGGUGCAGCCGGACUAGCACAACAAGUGCGAAAAACCAAAGUCCUCCGCGAAGACUAUCCAUGCAGAAGUCGCCUAAGGGUGCAGCCGGACUAGCACAACAAGUGCGGAAAAUCGAAGUCUACCGCGCAGACUAUCUGCGCAGAAGUCGCCUAAGGGUGCAGCCGGACUAGCACAACAAGUGCGAAAAACCAAAGUCCUCCGCGAAGACUAUCCGUGCAGAAGUCGCCUAAGGGUGCAGCCGGACUAGCACAACAAGUGUGAAAAACCGAAGUCUACCGCGGAGACUAUCCGUGCAGAAGUCGCCUACGGGUGCAGCCAGUCUAGCACAACAAGUGUGAAAAAUCGAAGUCCUCCGCGAAGACUAUCCAUGCAACAGUUGCCCAAAGGCGCAGCCGGACGAAGCAUAACAAAAGCGAAAACGACUACACCAAACUGUCCGCGCAAAGACCGACUACAUGCGCACCAGUCCAGCAUAACAAAUACACGUGACCAAGUAUGUAACACCUUCGCGAGCAUAGCCGAAUGUGCGAGGGCACACAACUUCAUCAUACAAGACAUUACACAUGUACAAGCGAGGGCAUCACACUCUACAUCGGCUCAACCUUCGGAAUAAUUCCCAUCUCCAUAUAGUUAAAUAACAUUAUCCUAAGCUCCUCACCUGCAAAAAGACUUCGCAAUUCCCCCUCACCUGCACUCACGGCGGCCGGCAAGGACAACAGUUCCUGCCGGCCAGCCCUACUCACACGAAGCCGACCACUGUCCGCCCCACUCACUCUACGCUUCGCAACCGCCCUUCGCCGCCUACGCCCAGUACUCGGACCAGGCACAACUUCAGCAUCCGCAGCGUGCGGCGAAGCCUCCGCCGCUGCCACAUCCAAGGCCGCAAAGUAGUCCAAGUCCUCAUCCGACGACUCCUCAGUCCACUCAACCGAGCUCCCAGAGUCACCAAAAUCAGACAACUUAGAUGGAGACCCAUCCGAUUUAUUACCAUCAUCCACGGUCGAAGCCGCCAAAAAAUUAGUAGUAGCAGUUGCGUGCGCAGGCCCAAAAUCUUGAACCUGCGCAGCAACCAAGAUUCAGCAACAUAUCCAAAAUUCCCUAACUACCCACACCCACUAUGCCACCUGCGAAGACCCAGCCGUCGCAGGCUCCUCCGCUGUCGACUCCGCCGCCACCUUCACAGGAUCCUCAGCCCUCCGCGCGGCAGUUGGCGACGGGCCUCCGCCGGCUGCGGUGGCUGCGGGGGCAUCAGGAGCGCCUUCGGCGGUUUCCGGAGGCGGCUGCAGGGCGGCCUCGGGCACAGCCUCCGUCGGGUUCGGCUCCGGGUCAGACAGCACUCUGUUCAAAGCCCCGAAGUCAUCCACCCUCUCGCCACGCGCUGCCUGAGACACAGCACACAAAUUCAGCAAACCCAUACAUAGCCCACAUUCAACAAACACCAAACAAAAGCCAAACAUUACCUGACCCCUCGCUGUCUCGGCCCGCUCCCUGACCACCUCUCGACCGUAGGGGCCCCACAUCUGGUCGUAGAGGGCUCCGGCGGAUUCCUUCACUAUAGGGUCCUCAACCUUGUAGAUAUCACGCUCGAAAUCCUCAUCAGCUUGGUCGAAGACCUCAUAGUGCCGGCACCCUUCGCGAGAGAGCUUGUUCAUCGCCCCCUCGCAGGUGACCAGGGAAGCAUAAGACAUAAACCCCUCCACGAUAGUGGGGAGCGCCUGCAACUCCUCCUGCACCCACUCCAGGUAGCGAAGUCCGGGCUCUCGGUCCGGCACUUCGAAGUCAGCGGUCCGCGCGCCCAGUUCAUGGUAUGAAUCCAUAAGCUGUUUGCGAGUCCGCUCAGCCUCCGUGCUCGUCGCGGCCUCGGCCCUCUCCACACGGCUCUGCAGAGCGCGGAGCCGCUCCUCCAACUGCUCGGCGCGCUCCCUGGCAAGACUGCCCUCCACCCGUGCCAAAUUGGCCUCCGCCUGCGCAGCCUGCGCCUUGACGAGGGCCUCAUUGGCCUCCUUCCUCUCCUCCGCCAGUUGGCGCCGGAGGUCAGUCUUCUCCCCCUCCAGCGCGGCCACCUUGUCCGCCAGCUUGCGGCACUUACUAUCGGCGGCCGACUUCUCCCGGACGGCGUCAGCAUGUUGCGUCCGAAGUCUCUCGACUUCGGCAGACACAACUGCCGUCAGGGCCCCCGACACCGCGCGGUCUGCGAAGUCAGCCGCCUACAAGACACACAUAAGACCACAGCCCCGGCGAAGCCGGUAAAAAAACCGAAGUCUAGCUCAACGUACCUGACUCAGUGCCUCCUUCAUCUCCUUCAGCCGGGGGACACAGCACCCGCCUCGUCCCUGACGGCAAUGAGUGCCGGCAUCUCGCCGCCGGCACUAAGGGCACCACCCUUCGCCCUUGGCACCACGGCAGCCGUCGUGGUCGCCGCGGCAGGCGGAACAACAACAAGUUGGCCUUCGUCCGACCCUGCGACGUAUCAACAAAUAAAAAAUAACAAAAAAAAUCGAGCCAACGACUUACCAACAAGAUAAUCGUCCACGCUAAUGUCGGUGGCGAAGUCGGCGACGCGCUUGCCCGACGGCGGCAACUCUCGGGCCGCCUUCGCGGCCUCCGGCACCCCGCUGGACGCCGGUGCAGCCUUCGCAGACUUGGAACCACCGGCGGCAGCCGCAGCCUUCGGCGCCUUGUCGGAUGCAGGGACGGCCGACUUCGCCGCCAGCGGCGGCUUGCCCCCGCCGGGGGCAGCAGCCUUCGCAGCCCCCCGCUGCCUCUUCGGCCUGGCUUCAUGAAGCCUGACGACCGCGCUGGCGCUUCUGUGCAGCUCCCUGGCGAUCCUUGUCCAUCACUUCCGACACAACAGCAGCAAUAUUCCGCCCGUAAGGAAACACUUUCCAUUCACGAACCAUGCGAGAUGUAAAAAAGUCUUCGCCGGCCGCGCGGGGGAUAGGAACAUUCUUAGGCCACCAACCCCCGGUAACCCUCAGCAUCCGCGCCGAAGACUCCCGGAGCUCGGGCGAAGACAUCCUUCCCCCCGGGGCCGCACAUGUCCUCAUCAAUUCUCUAGCAAAACCAUCGGAAACCCCAAGUCCUCCCAUAGCAGUACCUAGUUUCCUCUUCUUAGAGGACGGGGCGGCCGCCGGCGCGGGGUCGUCUCCAGACUCUACCACCGGUUUCUUCCCGCGACGAUCCACAUCGUCUUGGCCGGGAUAACCGCCAUAUGGCAGACGAUUCAACUCAAAAACCCUGUUCAAGCGGUCAUUCGACCCGCGAAUAUCCCAGCUACGCUGGCCCUCUGUCCUCGGCACGUACCGACCAACGAUCCGCAUCGCCCCAUCCUCCGCCUCACGCACAAAGGCGGCCGGAUCGCGGCUAUGUAGAUCAAGCGCGAAGGCAGGACUUCGCACCAGCUUCCCACCAUGGGAAGGCAUCUGGCGAGGGCACACUUCGCCCAACGCCCAGCCAUGCGCCAAAGGCCAUACCCCGUACGCCACAAAUUCCUCAACCAAAUCGCGCCCGCUGCUCAGGUCGGCGGCACAUCGAAGGGCCCCUUCGUCUGCAUCAUCCUCCGCCACUUCAAAAGGCGGGUAUGCUGAGUAAAGAUGUGAGCACAUCUCGGACACGGGGAGCCCCUGAUGGUCUUCGACUGUACCCUCCGUGACGUAAAACCAAAACUCAUGCCAAUUGCCCCACUUGUUGCGGGCGCAAGGAACCAACUCAACUACCUCCAUCGUGGUCUUGCCGGUCUUCGGCGUAAAUGUACAGGACCCAAACUGGGCAACUUCAUCUCCAAUCAUCCUUUUCUGCCAGUGCAGGCAAUAGUACUUCGCGAAGACUUCGACUGAUGGCUGUCCGCCGUACGAAGUUGUCGCCUAGACAGACUUCGACAGAGCCACCACGGCAUUCGGAGUCAACUGAUGGAUCUGAACAUUAAAUCUGUGCAGGACUUCUCCAACAAAUCGGUGCGCAGGCAGGCGGAGACCAGCGGCGAAGAACGCCUCAAACACAACCAACUCGCCCUCUGGCUCGGGGACUUCCUCCGUCCCCGGGACACGAGCGACUCCGCCGCCAAAGUAACCCAGCCGCUGCAUAUUUUGCACGCGGACCGACGACAUCCGCGACACACCAAAAUCCACCGUAUCGCUGGCGCGCAACUCCUCCGCCGCCACAGUACUCAGCAUUUCCUCAGACGACGCGUCGGCCGGCGGCGUGGCGGCAGCAGAAGAAGAAGAGGUCGACAUCGCUACGUACCGUCGCCAGCGACGGGCGGUCUGCUUCACUCGAGCCAGAUCUCCGGCGAACAAGAGCAAGGAGGGCAGACGAGCAGCAAGACGGUGGAAAAGGCGGCUAGCGUUUUCACGGAGCGCGGAAAGAUAAAGUUCAAAACACGCCGCCCCCACCCCCUUUUAUACACAGGGCGUGACGCUUCGGGAAACCCGCAGUCCAACAGUACGGUGUCAAUCAACGGUCAUGUCAAAAACCCCCGCGGAACCACUUCGAGGGAGGGCAGCGUCUCCACCAUCUAGCGACGUCUUCGGCACCAGAUGACUUAGUCGAACUGGUCCCUCAGAGGGCAAAUGUUGGGGCGAAGGCGAAGACGCCACCCUUCGCUCAAGGCCUUCGCCGCGGUCGUUGGUCCAACGGAGACAAGACAACGGGCAGGGACACCCUUCGCUCCAUACGACAUCGGACGAAGACCUGUGACGAGGUCAUCCCACCGUGCGGCCUCGUCCAACAUGGAGGCCCACGUGUGAUCCGGCCCAUUGUAACAGGCCAUGCGUGGCCGCUGCGUGUUACAGGCCUAAUUUGUAAAGGCGCCUCUGUAAUUACAGUCUGUAACCCCACUUUAUGGGAAUAUUCUGGGGAUAACCUAGGUGUCUGAGGGCACAUGCGUCCUUAACACAAGACGCUGGGCACUCAGAUACCUAUAAAUACCCCCGCACAGUGCCCUUGAGUGGCUAGAUUAACAGAGUUAUUGCCAUCUUGCGCGAGAACCCUGUUUACGUCUCUACACACCCCCAUUGGAUCCCCUUGCGACAGAGAGCAAGUUCCAACAGAGAUGAUAGAUGUUGCUUGAUCACUUGACAAACAACAUAGAAAUUGUUUCAAGGGAAAAAUUUACAGAAGAUAACAUAUUUGGGUAGUUCCAUAAUGGAUCAUGACUAGAGGCUUUGAUACCAGCAUCCGACGAGUAGCACAGUCCUGUGUGCGCAUUCACAUGAGACUCUCAGUUUCGCUGCGGCACCAUAAGUCAUUAACCAUGACACCAUCCCCGAACUGGCACCAAUAAUGAAUCCCACGUGGUAAAUCUAGAUUGUGCCAAGAUAACACAUUGAUAUAGUCUCAUAAUGGAUUACAACUACUAAUCGUGAUACCAGCGCGUGCCGAGCAGCACAAACCGUGUGUGCGCGCACACAGAAGGCCCCCAGUUUCGUCGCGACACUGUCUGUUUUAGUCAUAACGCCAUUAUCAAACAUAGCCAAUAAGGAAUCUCACGCGACACAAAUAGACUGGGCCAAGAUGACAAUAUACAAAAGAGACUCCACCUGUAAGAAUGAUUACAAGUAGAGAGCCAAAUAGAUCAUGGCCUAAUGAAAUGAACAAGGCAUGGCUAUAGCCUAAACUUGUUGAUGAAUGAGCACGAUGGGAGACUGUUAAUUCAGCCCCAAGUAUAUUUCUAUGCCCAUUGCAGAGAUUAUAAGGUCAAGGAUUUGUAUCUGAUUGGAUACAGAAGGAAAACAAUCAUAAGAUUAAGUUGGUAUGCCUUCGAUAGAUAUGAGGAAACCAAAGGCAUCAAACUCAAGAAAAAUUAUCGGACAUGCCUUUCCUAGGUUGGGUUGAUAAAGCAACAUGGCGAUCCUUAGGAACAGGCAAACUGGAUAAGGUGCAUCAGCUUGUGCCAAUCGAACAAGGGCAUGGUCUAGUUUUGGGUUUAAGUAAACAAGUCACCAACCUUCUAUCGGCACAUCUAGUACAAGAACAAACACACAUAUAACACCUAAAUAGAUUACCUAAAGAAUGGAGGAUAGCUAUUUCAUUGGGGUUCAUAGUACAACAUUACACCACAUUAUCUACAAUCACCAAGUAUUGGAAUAAAGAUGAGAGAAGCAUUUUGGGUAUAUAGGUGACAAACAUGAUGCAACAAUCAGGAUGCAUGCUCGUCUUAUUCGUCCUCACUGAUUUUGCCAACAUAAUGUGGCAAUAGCGUUCUAUAUCGGUGGCAUACUUACGACUCUCUCGGUAUUUUGCUAGUCGUCAACUACACAAACGUUCUCGAGGUUAGUGUACCUGCAGAAAAUUCCAUCACAGCCCAAUUUCCCAUGAUGCAAUUCACACAUGACAGUUUAUCACAGUUUAUACUCCAUAUAUUUCUAUAUGGAGGCCAGCUCAUCAUUAAGCGCCGAGCCACGCAUAGGCGCCGUCGUUGCCACACUUUAACCAUAUGGCAGCUCAUUAUGGUAACUCACCUUCUUACCUGAGCGUAAGUGCAUCAUUACAAGUACAUCACACUUCUCAGUAUUCCCAUGUAUGUAUACCCAUACACAUCCAUGGGGUACUGAAUCCUAGAAAAGUAAAUACUCCACAUCGCUGUCUUUAUAUAUACAUAUGUAGAACAUGUAUGUAGUCGGAUGCCACAUUUAAACACUCCCCUAGACCGACGUUUGUUCGGUCAUGCUUUCACAUCUCACCUUACCUGAGCGUCGAUCCAUCCACAAUUGAAUGGCCUCAAAAAUAACAAUACACAUGUAUGCAAUAUCCACCCGGUUAUGGGUUAUGGUUUUCAACUAAGCCACCUGAUAGUCCUUAAUUUAGGGCUUAACAGAGGAUGUCGCUAGCAUUAUUGUUUUUCAAAUAUGUUUUUCAAAACCAAACAAUGGGUUUAGUUGAAAAUAGGUUUUCAAAAACCAAAACUUUGUUUUGAAAAUAUGUAUGUGACCAUAUUAUACUUAAUCCUGCUCUGAUACCAGCUGUGGUAGAACCUCCCAAGUUAUUGAGCCCACAUGCACCUGUCCUUGUCUCAAAGACCUUAGACGGCUAUGCAUGUGCACCAGAUAACUUAACAGGAUCUGUCCGAGUGCCCCAAGGACCCCGAAUAAACCACUUACUACCAGGACCGCAGGAUUAAGUAAACACAAAUCACACACCAACAAUUUGCAGCGGAAAUCUUAUUACAAAAUUUUACAAGUUACAUCAAGUUUACAAUGUACAGGAUCAGAGUGAUUACAAAAGUGAUUCAAAGAAAUAACUUUGAACUGUUAUAAAUUAUUUAUAGUUUUGAAAUAUAUGCUAGCUUAAGUGACCAUCCUCAAUAAGAAGUAUAGAAAAGUUACUUAGACUUAUAAGAAGGUCGUGCCCACCGACGCUUAACACCAAUCAUAAUCAAAGUGACUCGUAACCUGCAGCAACAAUGGGAAUAAAACCCUAAGUACGCAAGUACUCAGCAAGACUUACCCGACUAAAGAAAAGACUCUCAAGGGUAUGCUGGUUUUAAAAGGAUUCAAGGUGAGGCUUAUCAAGAACCAAGGACUCUGUUUGCAGAAAAGCUUACUAUGAGUGGAUCCUUAAAAAUCCAUUUUACUUGUCAGGUUAAGUAAAGUUACCUGCAUCUAGAGUUCUUUCUAUCCUAGUUCAAGCACUUGGCCUAUACUAGCCGUCUUUUAUCAUCCCAUCAGUUCACUGGAUUGCUACGUGUAGGGCAGUGACCAAGUCUUCAUGUCCGAUAAGUAACGGCGAUCCGAAUCGAUUAAUACCCAGCUGGGGAUCUUCAAUCACACGGCAUAUGUAGCACUUAACCCUUGCAUAUGUCAACUCGCCACCGGGUCUCUUAAGACCAGACCGAGUUCACGCCAACCGAGAGCAUAGAUACACCACCGUCCAGCCUCUUACCACGGAGGGUACACACUACUCUCACCAUCUCUCCACUCCCAUUGCGUGUUGGCCUUUCUGGUAUUAGUCUGCCCGAGGCAAAGCUUACCCAUGAUGAGGCAUGUGACCAGUUAAAAGGUCCUCAAUCAGCAAGCCUACAUCGACACGGUCCUUAAUCGACUCAGACGGAGACACUACACCGAGACUCUCUUCUCGUGCAAGUCACCCGUUCGGUCUCAGCUUUAUUAUUUAAAACCCAAAGUUUGGUACCUGGCAGAGGUACAUCUUUUCCGAUGUUGAACCCAUCAAGGCCUUUGAUGGAUCCACCAUCACAAGUUUUUUUUUGCAAAAAUUCCCAUUCGCUGUGAAGCAUCACCUUUUGUUUUUAAACAAAACAUUUUGUUUUUCUAUAGCAAGGCUAAGCAUCAUAAAAUUCCUUUCAUAAAAAGGUAUGAAGGAAGGGUAAUCAAUUUUCCAAGGAAGGAAAUGCAUCAAUUGUUUAGCACACAACUCCUAUCACCUAAUGCAUCAUAUAAGGUGAUAAAGAUUUUAAAAGACCAAGGAGGUGGCAAAUGCACCGGGGCUUUCCUGGAUAACACUACGUUAGUGUUGUUAGGUGGCGACCACUUGGCGAUCAGCUUUUGUCUUGGCACUUGUUCAGAUUAUCCAUCUUCAGGUUCGGCCAUCAGCAUCACCUUGAGAUUAAUCCAGCUCUUGCCCUUCACAUCACGUGAUCAACUAGCGUACCUCAUGAGAUGCAUGAUGCACAUGUAUGAGCACGAGUAUAAAUAGCAUAAGAUAGAUAAUAUACACCGAAGAGGAUGAAACACUUAUAACAAAACAUUAAGCAAAUACUAGCUAGCGAUGUACGACUAAUUAUAAUAAUUACGCUAUUCCAGUCUAUUCGGAGGUAACUUAUACAUCACAAAAUAAUAAAAUAUACACACGCUCUACUCUCCUUAACUAAUGUUCAACACUAGAAAAUUAACAAAUUUGAUUUAUUAGUAUUAGUCAUCUAAAUUUAGAAUAAACAUAGAAGCAUAUUAACUAACUUUCUAAACCAUUUAUUCGAAUUAAUUUGGAUAUCACACUAAUCCAUUAAACCCAUAUGUCUACUCAAACACUUCUCGCCAUCGCGGUAUUUCAACAAGCAUACUACACAAGAUUAACCUCACCACUUAUUACGUGCAUAAAACCUAGUUAAAUAUAUUCGACACAUACAACCAUCUAAACACCUUUCAUGUAACCUAC